rnacentral:lncRNA from 1 species
UCCAUGGAGGUGUAGCUUCUCUUCAACUGACCUGGGAGACUAAUGUUGACGUCUGCUUACGGUGAUGAUGUAGCCCCCCUCUCGUCAUAGAAGUAAUUGCUACUUGCACUUGCCUCUUGAUCUCCUCCUGCAUCCAUUCUUCUCGACUUCUUUCACGCUCUUGCGAGCUAUGCACAAACUCCUCCAACUUGUGAAUCUACUCUGCCUCCUCCUCCUUUCUCUGGUGGCUUCUAUAAGUUCCUCGAUCAGCUGGGAAGGAAUGGUACCACGGAACUGCCCCAUAUCCUCUCGUACGCCCACCGUGUUCUGGAUUUUCAAGGGCGUACAUAAGUUCAUCCUUAUCUCUAUUGGGCUUGAAUAGACCAGAUGCAACCUCUGCUCGUGCAUGAACUAGCUUCUCUGCUGCUCAUGAGAUUUCUAGGCCUCAAACUAGCAACCCAAUUACAGUAUCUAUGGUUCCCCCAUGACCGUAUAACCAUUACUUUGAGCGUUCAACCCAAUUAUCCUGUAUUGUCUGAGGUACUACCCCCCUAGCCAUCAUCUCUCGUUCCAUUCUAUCUCAAUUUGGAAUGGCACUCAUAUAGCCACCUGAUGCUAGAUGAUGGUGGUAUUUCUUCUUUGCAGCAUUCUCUUUGUUCCUUCUGAUAAUAGCUUCGCUCUCUUCUGACGUUUUGUACUGCACGAAUUCGUCCCAAAAGGGCCUUAGCUUGACAUACACCUUGGUGCUGAAAUUUGGCGUCUCGUUCUUCUUCACAAACUUGGUGUACAAGUUCUUCUUCCAAGCCUCAAAAAGUGCUGCCAUCUUCUUCAUUGUCCACUCUCAGAUUCUCUCCUUCAACUCGUCAUCGUUUGUGUCGAACGUGAAAUGGUGUCCGAUGUUAGUCCACAUGUCGGCCUUAUCACGAUCGGAGACAAAACUAAUAUGAGGAGCACUUGGCUUCUUCUUCCAUUCUUGAGCACUGAUCGGUAUACUGUCCCUCACCAGGUAACCACAAUGACCGACAUAUGUCUUUGCAUGCGGUCCUAGUGGUUGGCCUGUAGCCUCGUCGAGUUCGGAGAUUACGAGACAGCCCUCCAACGGCCUCCUUGGCUCUCGAACCGGUCUGCUCUUUCUGUUCAUAGAUGUCGAUCUAGAGGGCUACAUAUAUAAAGACACAAAGAUGAAAUUAAUACAAGAUGCAGUAUACCCUAAAGUCUAAGCCCUAUACCCUAACACUAGUAUUGGCUUGCUCGACAAUUUGUUGCUCGUUAGGUGGUGGGGAGGAUCUCUGCAUGAUCUCCUCGUAAUCUGUCCGUAAGUAACGACUCCCAUCAUUAUCACCCUCAAUUUGUCUGUCACCACCGGCGAUGAGAUUCAUCAUGAUGGCCUCAUCAUCGAUUUGUUGAUCCCUCGGAUCGGCCAUUGUCUAUAUAUAUAUAUAAGCUAUAUAAAAAAUUAUACAAAUAUUAUCCAAUCAUAGAGUAACUAGGCUUAAAAGAUUGUCUCGUAAUUUACAAGCAUAUAUAAAAGAUGUGUCUAUAUAUAAUGCAUAUAUAUAUAUAUAUUGAUUGCAGGCAUAUAUAUAUCCAAUCAUAGAGUACCUAGGCAUUGUCUCGUAAUAUAUAUAUAUAUAUAGAUAUAUAUAUAUAUAUAUAUAGAUAUAGAUAUAUAUAUAUAAUGAGUCAUAUGACAUUCAUAUCAAGCAAGAACUAGCAAUGACAAGAGCAAGAACAACUCACUGAAAUUUGAAUGGGCUCGGUCUCGGCCAAAGAAGUGAUUUAUAGCGUGGGCUUUUAUUCCGAGGCUGAAGAAAGAAUAGGGACUAAAAAGGGUCCCUUUAGUCUUGGGGCAAGCCACCAACCGGGGCUAAAUCUUUAGUCCCGGCUGGUGCCUCGCCCCGGGACUAAAGGGUCCCUGCCCCGACAGCCCUACCAGGUAGCGGUUAGGCAACCGUUGGGCAGGACCCUUUAGUCCCGGCACGUGUUACAGGCCGGGACUAAAGGUCUUUUUAACCUCAGGGCGCAAAAAAGCCGAGACAAUUGUAGAUUUCGGGUAUCGUCCAAAGCCCUGUUCUAUAUUAUAGCCAUGGUAGUGAUUGCUGUCAUUAUUGCUGGUUCUUUAACUGAAACAACCAAUUUGUGUUUGUCAAAACUUAGAACCAGCAGUGAAGGGUAAUCACUACCAAUUGUACUAAUUGUGGCAGGAAAGCUGCGACAGUGAUGACUGAAUCUGUAAUAGUGUAUUCUCACAAAUAAGAAUAACCAAUUCAGGUGUUGAAGAUCCAAACAACAUGGCUAUAAUUAGAAGAAAUACUAGUACAAAUAAUUAUUGCUAAUAAAAUUUAAAAAGAAAUACUAGUAUACUACUGUUUCGAGUACUGCGUGCUGGCCGUAUUGUUGAAUGCAUAUGAACGAUUUUUGGUAAGGUGAGCUAGGUUGACUAUAAACUUUUGAUGGACAACCUAACAAACCAAAACCAAUGCAAAGCUAAGUGUGGCAAGUACGUACGUACACUAGUUGCCCUGAGCCCUGAGCACUCAUGUUUCGUUUCAUGAGCAGCAUAACAACCGUUUUUUUUAUGUAAAGCAUAAUAACCGUCGUCCCAUCCAGAUGGCAGAGGCAUCAUAAAUCGUGUGUCGAGUCACCGUCGUCGCUACAGACAGUCGCUAAAUAACGACAAGAUCGCCAAAGGGCAAGGCUACUGGUUAGCUUUAUUUAAAUCUAAUCACUGCUAACUUGUAUUAGCAGCUUGUUGGGCCAUGCAUGCAAUAAUGCAACGGGCGCAUCAUCAUCAACGUAACCACGACUUUGGUGUGUGAAUUUGCAAUGCAAGAUGGAGGGGACAGGGGAGGGGAGUGUACUCUGUGCCUAGCUGGAACAAACUAAAGGUACCAAUAACGACUUACGUUGUACUGUUAUUGGCGCUGCCCUUUGUUAUUGCCAGCCUGCCGACCACAGUGCCAGUGCCUCGCGCCUCCCCCCGUCAAGCUCAGCGGCUUCAAUUCUUCAAAUAUGUCGAGAUCUAUUCCGAUUAAUUUCACUCGAUAGAAAUCUCUAUCCUAGCAAAUUAAUUAGAAGCUUACAGUCUUUGACAAGCUAAGACAACACAGCGUGCAAGCAAGACAUCUUAAAUAAUCAUCCUGUACGUACGUCGUCCGUUGUCGAGUUGCCAUGCCAAUACCGUACCAGUGCUCGUGUCUUGAUCACUAGUACAAUGAAGUUCUGUAUAAGCGGUUUCAAAUCUAUUUCUAUAGACGGUUCUUAUACCCGCCAGCGCUGGGGUCAGUCAAUAAAUGCACCAUAUUUCCACUAUUAAGUGAGAAUACAGGCGGUUCAGUUAAGAUAACCGAAAUCGAUUUCCACAGGCGGUUGUGUUACGUCAACCGCCCAUGGAAAGGCUUCUACAGAAAAUAUAAACUGGGUUUUAAAAAUAGGUAAAAAAUAUAUAAACUGGGAAGGCCCACUAGCCACGCGCAAGUCGUGUAUUUUUUCGCGUAAAAUCACGUGCCACGCGGCCGGUGGAAUUCAAACCCGCAAUUUCUCCCUCGCAUAUAGCCUUCUCUAUCACUACACCCAUUACCCACUUGUGUUUAUACUAGAGUUUGGUUUCCCAAAUAUUAUCCUAAUAAACCAAGCAAACAUUGAUUGUUUGAGGCCCUAAACGGAUUCAAAUGAAAAAAUUGUCAACUAUAAAGUUACAUAUAACUUUUAUAUUGGUAGUUUCUUCAUCCGAGGUAAUUUACAAAAUUUGAAUUUCAAAUUUGACAAGUUGGAACGUAGUUUUCGAUGACAAGAUAAUUUCAAAUGAAAAAAUUAUCAAUUACAAAGUUUCAUAUCUUUUUGAGAUCUACAACUUUUAUUUUGACGAUUUUUUCAUACGAGACCAUUUGAAAAACUCAAAAAAAUCAAUAAAUUAUUUCUAAAGGCGAUUUUCUUAACAAACCGUCUCUAGAAAUCUUAUUUUUAGUGGCGGUUCCUUAAGAAAACCGUCUGUAAUUUAGAUUUUUACUCCGCCUGUGAAAAUGCAUAAUUUCCACUUGUAGUUUACUGCUAGUAAAAUAGUUUUCUACUGGCGGUUCUCGAGUCGGACCCACCAAUUUUGUAUAUAUAUAUAUUUUUUUAAUUAAAACCGUCUGUAAAAAAAAUUCUACCACGAGCUUGGAGUUUUUUUUACCGGUGGGCGCAAAAGACCCCCGAGAUUUUCACAUCGCCGCAGCGAAUUCAUCCACUGGCGCGUGGGCGUGGCUUCGGAAGCUAGCAGUCUAGCACGGCUGCACAGAUCAUCUCGAAGCAUGCAGCAUGGAGCAUCCGUGCAGAAAUAUCUGCGAUCGGGUGCUUUCAGACCACCAACUGUGCUAUUAGGCCAUCCAUGUGAGCUACUCUUUUGGUUCUAUUAAAAAUAUUAUUUUUGACUUUCAGAAUUUUUAUUUGAUCAUUUAUCUAAUUUAAAAUUUUUUAUAUAAAUAUUAUUUUUAUUAUAAUUUAUUUUAUCAAUAAAAACAUUUUAACAAUAAUUAUUUAAUACAAAAAAUUUAAGUAAAAUAAACAGUUAAAUAAGAAUUCUAAAAGUUAAAAAUGAUAUUUUUAAUGGACCGAAGGGAAUAGUAGUAUAGCUAGCUAGCUAUAAGCACGUCUAAUUAACAGUUACCUUGCUGACUGGAGACAUCUAGAGAGGUGCCGACGUUUCGCUGUUGAUGUUGAUGGAUGCCGCUCAAGUGCGAACCGUACGGAGUUUAACUCCCACAACACUCCCGCGACGUAACUGUCAAAGCUGCUCGUCUUAGUUUGUCACAGACACGGAGAUACUAGUCAAUAUCGAGCUUCGUGGACACGUAUACUAAUUCCUGUUAGGCACUACCCCAUAAUAGGAGUUUUUAUGGGUUCAAAAAUCUCGACUAGUACAUAGAAGUUCUAUGCAAGCAGUUCAUAACCCAUUUGCAUAGACAUUUUCAGGAUCAUCAGCGUUACGGGCAAGUGAAAAUGGAUUUUUCCACUAGCGGUUUAGUUAAGACACGCCCGUGGAAAUCGAUUUUCACAGGCGGUUCAGUUAAGGCUACCACCAAUGGAAAUGUUUCUCUGGAAAAUAUAAAUUGGAUUUUGAAAAUAGGAAAAAAAAUAAUCCUAGGAAAGGCCCACUAGCAAGUCGCGCAGUUUUAUUUUUCGUGUAAAAUCGCAUGCUACGUGACCCGGUGAGAUUCAAACCCACGACCUUUCCCUCGCGCAUAACCUCCUCUAUCACUCCACCCAUCACUCACUUGUGUUUAUAUUAGAGUUUGGUUCCCCACAUAUUAUCCUAAACUAAUCAUAUAUUGAUUGUUUGAGGCUCUAAAUGAAUUCAAAUAAAAAAACUUUUCAACUAUUAUGUUUUAUAACUUUUCAACAUCUAUGACUUUUAUAUUGGUAGUUUUUCCAUCCAAGGUCGUUUAUAAAAUUUGAGUUCCAAAUUUGACAAAUUCGAAUUUACUUUCGAUGACAAGAUGAUUUCAAAUGAAAACAUUAUGAACUACAAUGUUUGAUAAAUUUUUGAGAUCUACAUCUUUCAUUUUGGUGGUAGUUUUAUAAAAGGUUAUUUGAAAAACUCAAAAAAUAAAUUUCAAAUUAUUUCUACAGGCGGUUUCUUCAGAAACCGCCAAUAGAAAUCUGAUUUUUAGUGAUGGCUUCUUAGGCCUUGUUUAGUUCGCAAAAAAAUUCAAGAUUCCCCGUCACAUCGAAUUUUGCGACACAUACAUGGAGUAUUAAAUUUAGACAAAAACAAAAACUAAUUACACAGUUUGCCUGUAAAUCGCGAGAUGAAUCUUUUGACCCUAAUUAGUCUAUGAUUGGACAAUAUUUACCACAAACAAACGAAAGUGCUACAGUACCCAAAAUCCAAAAUUUUUGCCAACUAAACAAGGCCUUAAGAAAUCUGCGUGUAAAAAUACAUGAUUUCUAAUGACAGUUUUGGUAGAAAAACUUCUUGUGGAAGUCCAUUUACACUGGCGGUUCGCCUAGUGAAAAUACACCAUUUGCACCGCCAGUGAAAAUAUGUUUCCACAGGUGUUUCUUGAGUCAGGCCUGUCAAUUUCUUUCCAUAGACGUUAUUUAAUUGAAACCACCUGUAAAAAAGAAUCACCGCCGCCAGCGUAGAGCUUAUCAGUACUAGUGCUCAUCGCUGCUGGUUUUUCAAACCGACUGAAGUAAAGCGGCAAUGAUAAGAGGGCUCAUCAAAUCCGAGCUCCGGUUUGCCUUUCUAGAACACCAAAUCCAUGCUAAAAAUAUCAAAUUUUUUUGUUGGAAGAAGUUGCGGCCCUCCAAUCAGUGUGAUUGAUCGGGCCCACCCGAUCGCUGCUACGAGUGGAUUGAGAUUGCAACGUUUCAAACUCGAAACCCUAGAAUGAGCACAGCCCUAAUAAAUCAAUUUCAACUAACUCUUGCAAUAUCAUUUACAACCCCCUUAUAUAGGGCACGGGUCCUGACCGGGAUCCGUUACAAAGAUACCCCAUGACGAUGGCGGGAUAUUCCAGCAUAUUCUGCCACCGCAGUCUACAACCCACACGUCUACUUGAGUAAUUUCAAACUGCAAGCUCUUCACACGCCACCAUGUUGGAGCCCUAGUCCUGCCGCAGCUUGAACCUUCGCCCAACCUUUGCCAAGGCUUGUAGAUCCUCCAUCGUACGACCGUCGAGGGAUCUCUGUCUGCCUCCUGAGGGUCCUUUGGCUCGUCCUUGGUCGGGCUCAACAUGUCCUUCAUCACGCAAGGGCCGAAGGAUGUGCCCUUUUUCCCCAGAAUCCUCCGCGCUAGGUCGCACUACAAGAAACACAUGGCUUUUUAACGUUCAGUUACGUCACAAUAUAUGGAAUUUAUGUUACAAAUUAAGAUUUGUGACAUCAAGUUGACAAAAACCAAAACGUGGAAAAGCCCGCGUCAUAAAAUGAUUAUAUGACAUUUAUUUGGUUCAUGUCACAAGCAUAUGACAUUGGUUUAUUGUCACAAAAUCAUAGGCCUUGCCACGUGGCAGUUGACAUGGCAGGGAGAAAAAAUGUCACAAAAAUGAGUUUUGGCCCACUAAAGCCCACAUAGCUCAUGGGGCUGAAAUCUAUUUGGAUUGGUAUUAGCUGAUCCAUUAUUUUGAAUUACAGCUCAUAUAAAUUUUGAGCCCACAACAAUUCAGCCCAUAUAUUUUUUUUUGUCCUCACAAUGCAGCCAACUGUUUCAGUCCACAUAUUUCAGAUCAUUUUUUUCCAAACCCAGAAAAUUUACAUCAGUAUAGCAAAAAUUUACAUCAGAAAUUUCCAGUCACAUGUCCAGAAAUUUACAUCAGUAUAGCAAAAAUUUACAUCAGAAAUUUAAAUCAGAACACAUCCAUCACCACCGGGAUCCAUUUUUGCAUCGGAGAAGGAAGUCAAAUCCAUGUGCUUGACAAAAUCUUGAUCGGUAGUUCUGUGCAAUGGAUGAGCUGCUAUGAGAACAAAAAAAAAGUUCCAUAUUUCAAAUACCAAAUGCAUCGUUGAAUAGUCAGAGAGUGGGUAUCUGUACCAGAUCGAUGAAGUGCUCUACCCGUGAGGCCAUGACGGAGCACAGGGCUAGCGGCUACUCGUCCUCCUCUCGGAUCCAAAAAGAUUUGCGCCGUCCAGAUCCAAACCUCCACGGGAGGCAGCUACCAGCUUCAACUAGCACAGAAGGACAGUGGCGAGCUCGGCAGCUCAUGCAGCCAGGCGUCCUCACUGUAGUUGUAAGUAUGCAGUAGGAUUAAGACUAAAGAGGAAGAGGAAGAAGCAUCACCGGCCGUCACCACCAUGGACGAAUAGCAGAGGUUGCCGCGGUCGGCGUCAGGAAAGCCGGCUCUCCAGCCUCGUGUCGCGCGUGCCCUCGCCCACGCGGCCACGCGACUCGCGAGUUUGGGCAGGGUCGCAGGCGCCUCGCAGCCUCGCAGGGGAAGUGGCCGUCAUGAUCCCACUCUCACCAUCUCACGGAUUCGCGGUCGCGGUCGGCGUCAGGCAGGCAGGCAAGGGCGCAAGGCGGCUCUCCAAACUCUAGCGGACAGCGGUGCUGGUGCAUGUGUUGUGCAGUUGUGCGCCGGCGGCUGGACUGGGAGAGUGGAAAAAUGAUAGAGAGAGGUGCUCUAGGGUUUCAAUCCUAUUUAUACUUCUUGUUAUUGGGCUGGGCUGAAUCAUAUUAUUUGGGCUCUGUUACACAAGAUUCAACACUGGAGCUGGGUAAAAUAAACCCAUGGGUAUGCCGGUAUGGGUACACUAGGAACAUACCCGUAUCCACAAACCCAAUGAGUAUGAGUUUGUUCCCAUUAACAAACUCAUGGGUAUAAAUAUUGACUCAUGCCCGUGCCCUAAUAAAGAUUUUAAAUUUUAAAUUAAUUUAUGAGAAUUUCGAAUCAAAUUUUGGAAUAUUAGAUGGAUUCAAAUUAAAAAUACAUCAAAAAUAAAGUUGUAGAACUCAUCGAUAUCUACAAAUUUUGUUUUGGCAAAUUCUCCAUCUGACUUUGUUUAAACAACUCAAAAUUUGAAUUUCAAAGUACGAGAACUUUAAAUAGAAUUUUCAGAUAGUACAUUAGUUUAUUUUCAACAUGCACAAUUUAUUUUUAAAAAAUAAUAAAAUAAUUUGUGACACACAAACAAGCCUUGUGACACAGAAAUAUUGUCGCUAGAUGAAAUUUGACUUGUUAAAUGACAUUUAUUGUGACAUACAACUUUUUAUUGUCACUAAGUCACAGUGCCUAAAAUAUAAUGUCACAAAAUGGAUGAUAUAGUGACAUUAUGACCAUUGUCAUAUUAAAAACGUUAAAAAGCCACACAUUUCUUGUAGUGUCGGUUCCUGCACACAUGACUCACCAUACGAUCUACAUCAGUGUUAAGUUCGCUCGGGACCUUCGUCCCUCAUUGUCUGAAGGUCGAGGGUGCGGAGGUUUGGCGUUUGCGAACGAGCUAAAUCCUUUCUCUUUGACGCAGCUGGGGGUGAAGGCGUGGUUGAGUCUCCAACAGUUCCCUCCUUUUGAGCGUGGGGGCACUCAUGCGGGCCAUAUGCUCAAAAGCUCAUACCUUCCCCCACUAAGUUUAGUGCAUCGGAGGUCCCGCCUUCCCCCUGGUGCGCAAGAUGUGUCUGCUGAGAUUGACCGUUUAUCGGAUUAUUUUGUUGACUUAACUAAUCGCUAUGAUUGUGCCGGUUGUGACGCGACGGUUUUUUUCAUAGAUUGCGCCCUACAGUUUGUACAGGUAGCCAUUGCGUGCCUCCUCAAUGAAUUGCACCCAACAGUUUCUGUUGGUAGCUUGUCACACCCAUAUUUUAAGAACAAAAUAGGAUGCAUAAAAGACUCAUAUGUGCCCCAGAAACAGUCGCACACAUAAGUAGACAAAUCUCAAAUGUACCAUAGCAGUGUUUAUUACAUAGCGGAAUAUAUAUCGAAUCACAUAGUCUUAUACGAAAAUGAUAGCAUAAAGUAAACAACGCUCUCGACGGAAGCUCCACACAGGGACACUGUUGACUGGUUGACUCCAAACCUAGUACUCAUUACGGUAAUCCUCAUUCCAGUCAUCUUCAAUAUCAUAUCCUGAGGCGUUGGGAAAUUGCAAGAGUGAGCACAUAUCGUACUCAACAAGUAUAACCAGGGGUUCAUGAGGUUCAAAAAGCUGACACUGGUUUGACUGCAUUUAGCUUUUAAUGGUGGAUAGCAUAUUCAUAGUUAAAUAACAAUUGUCAAGGUAGCAUAUAUAAUCCAUUUAUCCCAUGAUCAAAAGUAAGCAUAAUUAACUCAUAGCAUAAACGAUAAUCAAAUGUACAUAAUAACAUAACAAGCUCAUCAUCUUAAUGUAGAUGUCGCCAAGGCCGCUCCUGACCGUGAGCUCGGCUAGUAUACCAGUUUUACACUCUGCAGAGGUUGUACAUCUUUACCCAUGAGUUAUGAUUUACCCUUUCGCCCGAGGUAGCUAAUCUCUUAACCCCCUUCCUAGGGAGGUCGGCAGGGAUCACUAUGAAGCCUUUCAAAAGUUCGUCUAACAAGUUAGGGCCGCAAGGUUUCCUUUGCGCGCAGAUAUAGAGCCCCCCUUCCGAUGGCACAAUGACUCGCAGCCUAUACUCAUACAGACAGAGGCCACACUAUACCCAAAACGGUUCAGCCCCUCCGCCCUUUCGGGUAACCGCUAACAAGCUAGAAAAGGGCUUCAUACUGAGCUAAAGCCAGAGCCAUAAUAGCCCUCAUGGUUGCACUGUUAUCCCGGGUGAUCACGUACAGACAAGAUCUCAUACAGUUAUUUGUCAUUCUUUUAUGUUCAUUGCAUAGCGAUUAAUCAUCUUACAAGAUCAUGGAUUAUAUCAAGCACUAGCACAUCUACACCAAAUGCAUAUCAAGUAGGUAGCAAGGAAUACAGGUAACAAUCAUCUAUGAUUUUGCUAAGGUCGACAAGGUGAUAGCAUGCAUAUGAUAUAUAUAUGUAUAGUUAAUAGUGAAUAGGUAACAAGGAUGAUCCCAAGUUAUACUUGCCUUGCUCAAGGCCCUCCUGAGCCUGCUGGUCCUCAAAAGCUUGGUCUUGGUCACCAACGUACGGCUCACCGUCUAAGCCCAAUCAUCAAUCAACAACACGCGAUCCAAUGUAGACAAUCAUACACGAAGCAAACAAAAUAUAAUUAGAACAAUACACCAAACAGUGGUAAAACAAAUAUAAAAGUUUAUCAAAAUAUUCUACGCAGCGCUACGAUCACACAAACGUAAAGUUCACGAAAAUCGGAAUUAAAACGUGAAAGAUAUGAAUUUUCUAAGCUUUCCUAUAGAGAAAUAAUUAAUUAAAUGCUACUGCAGAAUUAAAAGGUUUCAAAACAGUAAACUAAUAUUUCUAACGUGUAGAGAUCGUAAAUACGAAACCAAUGGAAUUUGAAUGGACAAAAACGGAGUUAAAAUGAUCAUUUUAUAAGCAUUAUAAAUUCAGUGGCAAAACUGUAAAUAUUAGAAACAUAAUCUGAGCUGAACCGAUCCUGAAUACGUUUUCAAACUCAGAAAGCGUAAUCCAUCAAAGGCGCUAAGGGCUGCGGGUGGAUUCCUGGAAAGUCCCAGGGACUCUUUAGCAAUUUUUACAGCCGAAGGGGUACGCUUCUUUCUGAGCCCUUGAUCGCCGAUCGGGCGGUUGGUGUUCCUUCCAGGGCCGAGCCCGGCCGACCGGCCGCCGGGACAGAGCCUCCCGCGGCGGUGCGCCAUGGGCGCCGCCCAGGACUCGCCGGAGACCGCGGGUCGCGCGAUUCCGUGCACUAGGGAACAAAAGGAUGACAUCAGGCGAAAGAGGGGCUCACCGCGAACACGUCUGGGGGCGUUGCUCGGCCUGGGAAGGAGCAGAGAGGGUUGACGAGCUCCGAGCUCUCGGCGAGAUCGCGUCCUUGAAAAAAAACGGCGGCUAAGGUUGCUAAACCGUGCGGAGAUGCAAAGGGGAAGCUGCAAGAUUGGGGAGGACGUUUUAUAGCGCUCGGUUGACGCAUUAGGCAAGGAAUAUCCCGCGGAUUACGGGAUUGAGUCGGUCGGGGAAGAAGGAAAUCCUUCUCGGUCACGCGCGAGGAGGGUGACGGUGCUGCCAUGUGGGCCCCUGGUGUCAGCGGGUGAGUGGGACGGGGCCCGGGUGUCAGCCAAAGACGGAGAGAGGGGAGAAGGAUGAGGCGCGCGUGGGCUUGCUGGGCCGGGGAAGAGACUGGGCCGAGGGGUGAGAGGGGGGGUUCGGCCGGGGUUUCUUUUUUUUUUUUGUUCCAAGACCAUUUCCAAAAGGCUUUUUGAAUAAAGUUUGAGAGCAAAUAAAUUCCAACAAAUGACAACAGCUCAAUCAAACAAAGAUGCUCCAGCAUGAAUGCAAAUUCAUGUUUCUAAAUUAUGAUGAAUUUUAAUUUCAACAAAAUUUGUUUGUUUACUAACUUAAAUGCUCACAAAAUAUUCAAAUAAAUCAAAUUAAAUCCUAUUACUUGAAAAUCAAAUUUUAGGUGUUACAAACUCUACCCCCCUUAGGAGAAUCUCGUCCUCGAGAUUGAACGGUGCUUACUCGAACAGAUAUGAGUAUGACUUCCUCAGAUCAUCCUCUCUUUCCCAAGUUGCCUCCGCUUCCGAAUGCCGAUUCCACUGUACUUUGCACAUUCUGAUGACCCGACUUCUGGUGACUCUCUCAGCUGUCUCCAAUAUUUUGACCGGAUACUCUUCAUAAGUGAGGUCACCUUUAACAGAGAGUUCUUCCAAUGGUAGUUGCUCCUCAGGUACACGCAAACACUUCUUAAGUUGUGACACAUGGAACACAUCGUGCACACCUGACAAACUUCCAGGCAAUUCCAACCGAUAUGCUACUUCUCCACGCCUUUCUAAUACUUUAAACGGACCAACAUACCUUGGAGCUAGCUUUCCCUUCAUAUUAAACCUCUUCACACUCCGUAUAGGUGACACUUUCAGAUAGACAUAAUCACCUACUUCAAAAGCCAACUCUCUCCUACGCGUAUCUGCAUAGCUUUUCUGACGAGAUUGAGCAACUCUCAAGUUAUCCCGAAUGGUCCGCACUUGUUGUUCUGCAUGUCUAAGCACAUCUGUCCCAAACACCUGAGUCUCUCCCGUCUGAUUCCAAAACAAAGGUGUCCUGCACUUCCGACCAUAUAGGGCCUCGAACGGUGCCAUGUUAAGACUUUGCUGAUAGCUGUUGUUGUAGGAGAAUUCUGCAUAUGGCAAACUCUUGUCCCAACUAGCCCCAUACUGCAAAGCACAAGCUCUCAACAUAUCCUCCAAUAUCUGAUUGAUCCUCUCAGUCUGUCCAUCUGUCUGUGGAUGAUAUGCUGUGCUGAAAUUCAACUUGGUUCCCAACGAAUCAUGCACUGCUUUCCAAAAGUGAGAUGUGAAUUGAGUACCCCUAUCUGACACAAUCUUCUUUGGUACCCCAUGCAAACAAACAAUUCUCUCCAUAUACAGCUCAGCUAGGCGUUCUCCAGUGUACUUAGUUUUAACAGGUAUGAAGUGAGCAACUUUAGUCAAACGAUCUACUAUCACCUAUAUUGAGUCAUACCCUCUCUGUGUUCGUGGUAAACCCACUAUGAAAUCCAUACCCACUUCUUCCCACUUCCAUUCCGGAAUCUUCAUUGGUUGCAACAGUCCAGCUGGCCUCUGAUGUUCAGCUUUCACUCGCUGAUAAGUAUCACACAAAGCAACAUACUCAGCUACAUCCCUCUUUAAACCAUACCACCAGUACUUCUGUCUCAGAUCUAGAUACAUCUUAGUGCUCCCAGGGUGAAUGGAAUAUGCUGACUCAUGAGCCUCUCUUAGAAUCGUAUCACGAAUAGCCUUCACUUCAGGAACACAUAUCCUUUUUCCAAACCACAAUACACCAUUGUCAUCUAUUCUGAAUCCUGGUGCUUUGCCUAAUGCCACAUUCUGUGCUAUCUCCUUUAGUUUCUCAUCUUCCAAUUGUCCUUUCAAUAUCUCUUCCUCUAGAGUAGGAGUGACCUCAAUUUCCAUAGCAUUCACUACAAUUCCCAAGUUCAAAUGUGCAAAUUCAGCACACAACUCCUCAGAUUCAGGUGUCGCCUGUAGCUCAUUAGCAUAUUUCUUUCUGCUAAGUGCAUCAGCUACGACGUUCGCCUUUCCAGGAUGAUAAUGCACUUCCAAGUCAUAAUCCUUUAUCAGUUCCAACCAUCUUCGUUGCCUCAAAUUCAGAUCUGUCUGGGUGAAGAUAUACUUCAAACUCUUAUGAUCAGUGUAUAUGUCACUCUUAUGCCCAAUCAAAUAGUGUCUCCAAAUCUUCAAUGCAUGAACCACAGCUGCUAACUCCAAAUCAUGAGUAGGAUAAUUCAGUUCAUGUUUCCUCAAUUGUCUAGAUGCAUAAGCAACAACUCUACCUUCUUGCGUGAGAACACAACCCAAACCCAGACGAGAAGCAUCACAAUAGAUAGAGAAACUCUUACUCAGAUCUGGCAAAACCAACACAGGUGCAGUAGUCAAUCUCUUCUUAAACUCCUCAAAACUAGCUUGACACUUAUCAGACCAUACAAAUUUAGCAUUCUUCUCCAACAGAGCAGUCAUAGGCUUUGCAAGUUUUGAGAACCCUUCAAUGAACCUACGAUAAUAACCAGCCAAACCAAGAAAACUGCGAAUUUCACUUACAUCAGUAGGUGGUUUCCAAUUCAACACAUCUCUCACCUUACUAGGAUCCACUGCAAUACCACCAUUAGAGACAACAUGACCAAGAAAAGAAACUUCCUCCAACCAAAACUCACAUUUACUACGCUUAGCAUACAACUUAUGUUCUUUAAGUUUCUGUAAGACCAAUCUCAGAUGCUCAGCAUGUUCUUCCUUGGUUUUAGAGAAUACCAGAAUAUCAUCAAUAAAGACCACCACAAACUUAUCAAGAUACUCCAUAAAUACUUUAUUCAUCAUGUACAUAAAGUAAGCUGGUGCAUUGGUCAAACCAAAAGACAUAACUGUAUACUCAUAUAACCCAUACCUUGUUGUGAAAGCUGUCUUUGGUAUAUCUGAAUUCCGAAUCUUCAAUUGAUGAUAACCAGAACGCAAAUCAAUCUUAGAGAACACACAAGCACCUCUUAACUGAUCAAAUAAGUCAUCGAUCCUAGGCAAGGGAUAUUUAUUUUUGAUAGUGACCUCAUUAAGUGACCGAUAAUCAACACACAUCCUCUGACUACCAUCCUUCUUAUCAACAAAGAUAACUGGUGCACCCCAUGGUGAUGAACUAGGACGAAUGAACCCUUUAUCUUGCAAUUCCUUAAUUUGUUUCUUAAGUUCUUCUAGUUCAUUAACCCCCAUUCUAUAUGGUCUUUUAGCUAUGGGUGCAGUACCAGGUAGUAAUUCAAUAAUAAAUUCAAUGUCUCGGUCAGGUGGCAUACCUGGCAGUUCAUCUGGAAAGACAUCCGGAAACUCAUCCACUACCAAAUUCUGAGGAUCAACAUCUUCAUUCAGUUGGUUCACCUUGGCUGUGAGUGGUGCUUGCACUGUUACAUUAACACUGAUUCGUUCUCCCUUUGGUGUUGUUAGAGCCACUACUCUCUCUUUGCAAUUAAUAUUUGUUUCAUGUUGCUUCAUCCAAUCCAAACCCAAGAUCACAUCUAUGCCUGAAGUUCUCAUAACCAUGGGGCUGAUAGGAAAAUCUACCCCCCUUAAAGAAAGACUUGCUGAGGGGCAACGUAAAGAAACUGGUAUAGUCCCACCCGGUGAAUUAACUAACAUAGGGGUGUUCAUUGCAACAAGAGGAAGGCUAUGAACUCUAACAAAUGCUUGUGAUAUGAAAGUAUGUGAAGCUCCAGAAUCAAAUAAAACUGUAGCAGGGAUAGAGUUGAUGCUGAACGUACCCAUCAUGAUUUCUGGUCCCUCCUGAACAGUUUCUGCUGCCACGUUGUUCACCUUUGCUGAAUUAGGAGUGGAUCUCCGGUCGUUGUACUGCGGAUUAAACUUCUCUGGGCAAUCAUAGGACAUAUGCCCUUCCUUCCCACAACGGAAACACCUGGUAGGAUUGUUAGAAGCACUCCUUUUCAUGGGGGUAGCACCUGAAUUCCCGGUGCGAGGUGUUUGCUGACUAAACUGCUGCUGUCGGGGGUUACGUUGCUGGAAUGGAGGACGUUGGUUCCCACUCUGCGACUGAUUCUGGAAACGCUGGGGUUGUUGGUUGCGGUUCCACUGACUAACUGGUCCCUGGAACCUCUGCUGAUGACCUUGAUGAGAACUGAAACGCUGACGGUUGUUGCUCCCAGAUCCUUGUGCCAGCAUCCUUCUCUUCUUAUCCUGACUCUUCCGCAUAUUAUCAAGCACAAUGGCACGAUUCACAAGAGCUUGGAAGGUAGGAUAAGUGUUUCCUGCCAACUGCAACCUAAGUUCAUAGUACAAGCCCUUCAUGAAUAGACGCUGCUUAUCAGCAUCUUCCCUGACAUCAUUUGGAGCAUAGCGAGCCAACUGUUCAAAUGUGUCAUGAUAUUCUGCCACAGUCAUGGAGCCCAUCCUGAGUGAUCUGAAUUCUUCUUGUUUGAGCUCCAUCACUCCUUCAUUUAUAUGUCGAGCUCUGAAGUCCCUACAGAAAUCCAGCCAUGUGACAGGAGGAGCAUUGUUGGGACGAGUAGCUUGAUAUGACUCCCACCAUGUUUGAGCUGCCCCCUGAAGCUGUCCAGAAGCAUACAACACCUUCUCCAAAUCAUUGCAUUGUGCUAUGUUCAGUUGCCUCUCCACGGCACGUAACCAAUCAUCCGCCUCCAUGGGAUCAGCUGAGUGUGUAAAGACUGGGGGUCUUCCCUUCAUAAACUCCCCCCGCUUGUCUCUCACAUGAACUGGUGGUGGUGUCGGUGGAGGUUGUUGUUGCAGGUGCUGCAUGAAAACGUGCAUCAUCUGGUUUUGGGUUUGCAUGAGCUCCUCCACGGUGAUUGGAGCAUUGCCACCAUUGUCAUUGCCAUUGCCACGGCCUCUACCUCUGCCUCUUCCCCUUGCUGCCAUCUGCAUCCCAAAGUAUAUAAACACAUCUUAGUAAUGUCCAACAUGACAAUUACAAGAGUUAACGGAAUCUGAAAUUUUCUGGGUAGCAUCCAACAUCAGCAGGUCGGAACAUCAGUCAUAUCUCGAGUUCCAGAAUUCAAAAGGAUACAUGCUGUACACCGUUGGAAAGAUAAAGAAAUUGUCUACAACUUUCACUUAGAUCAUAUUACCAGAUUCCAACGUUAGUUUAAUCAAAAACUGUGUGCAACCGAAACUGUUCCAGAAUUCCAGACUGCGCAGAAACCCCAACUUUAAACAGUCAUAACUCACAGCUCAUAAUAGAUGAUAUGAUCAUUCUUGUGGCAUUGGAAAGAUAUGAAAGUCUACUUAUUCCCAGAAAAAUUUGAUGAACAUUGCACGAACAGAAUUUGAUUUAUUCCAGAAUCAUGGCAGACUGCUCCAGAAAACAGCAAAAGACAGAAACAGGAUAUGACCCCAACCCACUAUUUAUUCAUGUUCUUACUUAAGGUUCUUAACUAGGGAACUUGUGGACAUGCCCACAAAGUCCCAGCACUCAUUACAAAAAUCCAAAUCACACAUAUCCAUAAUAACAAAUCAGCAAGCACACCAAGUUCACACCACACUAGCAAAAGACUCGAAAUAACUCGCAACUACUAACGUUACUAUUACAUAUGGGUUCUUUUUCUAUUCCUCGGGUGCAGCAUCCUUCAAGAUGGGUUCAACAUGCAGCCUCUUAUGAAGUUUGGGGCGGCCUAACUCCGCUCGAAGGUCAUCCGCUUCCCUUUGCUCUUUCUCCAGCAGCUUCCUCUCACGGUGUAGUUCAUUCUCCAACUCUAUCACCUUGAGUGUCAGCUCAUAAGUCAACUCCACUUGUGCUUGAAGCUUUGGUUGUGAAGCAUCUGCAACUUCUAUGGCCCAAGUCAUCUUCUCUGGUACAAAGCGAGGAUAGUGGUAUGUUGCAUUGUACUGAACAUCCUCAAAGAGUCUACCACGGUAAAAGAUCAAGGCCUGGUAAGCUGCAUCUGCCAUGCUCUCUCUCAUCGUGUCCCGGCUGAUUCGAGCGAGGUGUUUUGAUUCCACCUUUCGAAUCCCCUUGGUGGCAUCCAGUGUCUUGACUAUCAGCUCUGCAACCCAAAGUGAUCUCUUCAGCGGGUGUUUGUGCUCAGUGCAGUUAUACUCCAGUGUGGCUUGCAAAUCCGGGUAAUGGUGUUUCAAGGUCAGCACCAAAUUCUCAUGGAAGAAAUCCUUGGGAUCUGCCUCUGGAAUCCACAGCUCAGUAGUCCACCCCAUCCUUGCAUUAGCAGGCUGUGGUGGAGGUGGAUCUUGCAUCUCCUCAUCUUCAGGCACUUCCUCCUGAGCUUCCACCCUUGAUUCCUCAUCUUCCAGCUCAGGAACUCCAUCCACAUGCUGUCCUCCUAGGUUGAACAUGGCACGGUACUCCUCAGCAGCCAUGCGUGCAGCACUACGGGUGCGGGGCGGCAUCUACAAAAAGUUUUUAGACAUAGAUCAGAUGGAUGCAAUAAUUUCACAACAGAGCAAGAUAGAGAAGCAUAAAACUUUUAGCAAAUAACAAGGCCGUAGUGGAAAGCAUGAAGUAAGUAAAAUAAGGGCCUAAAUUUUCAACCAUUGCUAACUAGGUUUGCGUCCUACAGUCAACAAAGCUUUGAUACCAAUUUGUCACACCCAUAUUUUAAGAACAAAAUAGGAUGCAUAAAAGACUCAUAUGUGCCCCAGAAACAGUCGCACACAUAAGUAGACAAAUCUCAAAUGUACUAUAGCAGUGUUUAUUACAUAGCGGAAUAUAUAUCGAAUCACAUAGUCUUAUACGAAAAUGAUAGCAUAAAGUAAACAACGCUCUCGACGGAAGCUCCACACAGGGACACUGUUGACUGGUUGACUCCAAACCUAGUACUCAUUACGGUAAUCCUCAUUCCAGUCAUCUUCAAUAUCAUAUCCUGAGGCGUUGGGAAAUUGCAAGAGUGAGCACAUAUCGUACUCAACAAGUAUAACCAGGGGUUCAUGAGGUUCAAAAAGCUGACACUGGUUUGACUGCAUUUAGCUUUUAAUGGUGGAUAGCAUAUUCAUAGUUAAAUAACAAUUGUCAAGGUAGCAUAUAUAAUCCAUUUAUCCCAUGAUCAAAAGUAAGCAUAAUUAACUCAUAGCAUAAACGAUAAUCAAAUGUACAUAAUAACAUAACAAGCUCAUCAUCUUAAUGUAGAUGUCCCCAAGGCCGCUCCUGACCGUGAGCUCGGCUAGUAUACCAGUUUUACACUCUGCAGAGGUUGUACAUCUUUACCCAUGAGUUAUGAUUUACCCUUUCGCCCGAGGUAGCUAAUCUCUUAACCCCCUUCCUAGGGAGGUCGGCAGGGAUCACUAUGAAGCCUUUCAAAAGUUCGUCUAACAAGUUAGGGCCGCAAGGUUUCCUUUGCGCGCAGAUAUAGAGCCCCCCUUCCGAUGGCACAAUGACUCGCAGCCUAUACUCAUACAGACAGAGGCCACACUAUACCCAAAACGGUUCAGCCCCUCCGCCCUUUCGGGUAACCGCUAACAAGCUAGAAAAGGGCUUCAUACUGAGCUAAAGCCAGAGCCAUAAUAGCCCUCAUGGUUGCACUGUUAUCCCGGGUGAUCACGUACAGACAAGAUCUCAUACAGUUAUUUGUCAUUCUUUUAUGUUCAUUGCAUAGCGAUUAAUCAUCUUACAAGAUCAUGGAUUAUAUCAAGCACUAGCACAUCUACACCAAAUGCAUAUCAAGUAGGUAGCAAGGAAUACAGGUAACAAUCAUCUAUGAUUUUGCUAAGGUCGACAAGGUGAUAGCAUGCAUAUGAUAUAUAUAUGUAUAGUUAAUAGUGAAUAGGUAACAAGGAUGAUCCCAAGUUAUACUUGCCUUGCUCAAGGCCCUCCUGAGCCUGCUGGUCCUCAAAAGCUUGGUCUUGGUCACCAACGUACGGCUCACCGUCUAAGCCCAAUCAUCAAUCAACAACACGCGAUCCAAUGUAGACAAUCAUACACGAAGCAAACAAAAUAUAAUUAGAACAAUACACCAAACAGUGGUAAAACAAAUAUAAAAGUUUAUCAAAAUAUUCUACGCAGCGCUACGAUCACACAAACGUAAAGUUCACGAAAAUCGGAAUUAAAACGUGAAAGAUAUGAAUUUUCUAAGCUUUCCUAUAGAGAAAUAAUUAAUUAAAUGCUACUGCAGAAUUAAAAGGUUUCAAAACAGUAAACUAAUAUUUCUAACGUGUAGAGAUCGUAAAUACGAAACCAAUGGAAUUUGAAUGGACAAAAACGGAGUUAAAAUGAUCAUUUUAUAAGCAUUAUAAAUUCAGUGGCAAAACUGUAAAUAUUAGAAACAUAAUCUGAGCUGAACCGAUCCUGAAUACGUUUUCAAACUCAGAAAGCGUAAUCCAUCAAAGGCGCUAAGGGCUGCGGGUGGAUUCCUGGAAAGUCCCAGGGACUCUUUAGCAAUUUUUACAGCCGAAGGGGUACGCUUCUUUCUGAGCCCUUGAUCGCCGAUCGGGCGGUUGGUGUUCCUUCCAGGGCCGAGCCCGGCCGACCGGCCGCCGGGACAGAGCCUCCCGCGGCGGUGCGCCAUGGGCGCCGCCCAGGACUCGCCGGAGACCGCGGGUCGCGCGAUUCCGUGCACUAGGGAACAAAAGGAUGACAUCAGGCGAAAGAGGGGCUCACCGCGAACACGUCUGGGGGCGUUGCUCGGCCUGGGAAGGAGCAGAGAGGGUUGGCGAGCUCCGAGCUCUCGGCGAGAUCGCGUCCUUGAAAAAAAACGGCGGCUAAGGUUGCUAAACCGUGCGGAGAUGCAAAGGGGAAGCUGCAAGAUUGGGGAGGACGUUUUAUAGCGCUCGGUUGACGCAUUAGGCAAGGAAUAUCCCGCGGAUUACGGGAUUGAGUCGGUCGGGGAAGAAGGAAAUCCUUCUCGGUCACGCGCGAGGAGGGUGACGGUGCUGCCAUGUGGGCCCCUGGUGUCAGCGGGUGAGUGGGACGGGGCCCGGGUGUCAGCCAAAGACGGAGAGAGGGGAGAAGGAUGAGGCGCGCGUGGGCUUGCUGGGCCGGGGAAGAGACUGGGCCGAGGGGUGAGAGGGGGGGUUCGGCCGGGGUUUCUUUUUUUUUUUUUGUUCCAAGACCAUUUCCAAAAGGCUUUUUGAAUAAAGUUUGAGAGCAAAUAAAUUCCAACAAAUGACAACAGCUCAAUCAAACAAAGAUGCUCCAGCAUGAAUGCAAAUUCAUGUUUCUAAAUUAUGAUGAAUUUUAAUUUCAACAAAAUUUGUUUGUUUACUAACUUAAAUGCUCACAAAGUAUUCAAAUAAAUCAAAUUAAAUCCUAUUACUUGAAAAUCAAAUUUUAGGUGUUACAUAGCUGUUGGGUGUUGGGAAUCACAACCAUCGCAGGCUCCCCCUAUAUAAAGGGGGGUCACUUGGUUUCUUACCCUGUCGCUUUUACAUAGCUGCCUUGUAGCCUUCGCUCUCUCUUUUCCUUUGCACUAUGAGCUCGCUUCUACAAUGGCUUCCCCACCUUCGCUCUGUCCUAUCCGGGCAAACUUUGUUGGCCUUUUUUGGGAUUUGCUAAGUGUGAGAUCUAGUGGUUUGUUAGAUCGCUAUGAGGAGUGUAUGCUUGAGGUUUUCUCCGCACGUUAGCUAGAAGAAAGUUUGUCCGAUGUCGAAGCUUCUGUCGGCGACCCAGUUAGUGUGGAGGAGUUUUUUCAAUGGCUCGCCCCACAUUUGAAUUUGGUUCGUCCCUUGUGACGGCGGAGGAUAUCUCUGAGAUGGUAUAGGGUGGAUUUUUCAAGGAAGGUUGGGCGAAGGCACCUCCUGCCGAACAGACAGUUCCUGACCCCGAGCCGGGGUAUGCAGUGGUUUUUAUGGACUAAUUUACCUAUAGGCUGCUGCUGCCCCCUACGCUUUUCUUCGCCAGGUUAUGGAGGCCUUCAACUUAGAGUUGCAUCACUUCAGCCCAAAUGGAAUUCUUACGCUUAGUAAGUUUUGUUGGGCUUAAGAGUCGUACGGGUCGGUGCCCCAUAUUGAUACCUUCUGCACCUACUUCGACCUCCAGAAGUAGCCGAAUAAAGUUAAGACUGCCAAAGGAGAUUGCAUAGCAUAGUUUGGAAGCUGCGCCUUUAUGUGUAACACCCUGUAUUUUCUACAAUGAUAAAAUUUGCUAAAAAUUUAAACUUUUUAGAAGCUUACAAAAAUUAAAACUUGAUUAGUUUAUUUCCCCGUGAAACCAUUUUUUUGAAAGUGUUUUUUUUCCAAAAACCUUGAAUUAAAAUUCACCAUAUGCAUUAUGAGUGUUUGUGUGUUUUUUUUCUAGAAUUUAUUUGUGGCGCCAAAUUAUUUCUUGUAUUCCCAAAUCCUAUUGUUUUCCAUAAAUUCCCAAUCUCAUUUUCUUCCUUGAAUUCAAAUGGAAAUCUUUGUUAACCCACUCCAUGAUUUUCUGGGAAAUUUCAAAAGCUGUCACGUGAAUAUACAAAUUUCUUUUGGGGCUAGUUUCUCCUCCACAAUUCACGUACGGCGAUGGACUCAUUAGCAACACCUGCUUCGUUCAGCACCCUAGCUCGGACUGCUAGCGCACGUGCGUACGCGUGUGUGGAGAAAGAAGUGCAGGAGCUGCCUGUUAUGUACUGUAACUCUUCAACGGAUGCUGGUAAAAAUCUCAAUGGCCGGAAAAUAUCCGAGCACUGCUGGCGCGAGCCCGCGUCAACUUCCAACUGCUUGGAUGUUGUCUUCUUCGUGGUGUGUCCUUCCCAGCAAUAGAAGCAUGCCCCCAUGGAGCCUGUCACCAGCUUCCACGCUGUGCUGUUGCCAAUCGCUAUGCUGCUGGCAAUCUGCCAUGAUCCAGUAAAGGCCAGCUUGAGCCAAGCGUGCGCACAUGUAGACGUUGACUACCAUUGCUGUGCUGCAGAUUAUGCAUGCCGGCAAAAAUCUACCCGGCCCGGAAAUAUCGGCCACUUUUCCACCGCCUUACUCGUAUCUAUAAAAGCCAGCAAGGCCACCAUGGCGAGGCACCUCCGUCAAGCUGGAGGGAAGGAAACUUGAGAACGAGCUCUGCUUCUCUCUGGCUACUUGCUCCAACACUAUCGACGAGCAGAGCUUGAGCUCUCUUACCACAGAAUCCUUGGUCUUGCCGUACGCAAACCCGCCGAAGGCAGGCACCGCCAUGCUGAGGACGCCCGACGCACGAAAACGACGCCGGAGCUGCUACUACACAACGCCGCCGCCGUAACCGCGCCUCGGUCUCCUCGCCAAGCAUCGCCGGAGCGGCCCUCGCCUUGAACCGCCAAUGGCCGCACAGACGAGAACCUCACCUAAGCAUGACACCGCUCGGUUCUGCUCUCUGCUCCACCGGCACAGUCGCUCAGUGCCACCCUCGCCUUGGUUGUUGACUUCAUGCCAGAGCUGAGCACUACCAGGCAUUGCCGCCCAGCUGCCCUGGCCGGCUCGCACCAAAUUUGAGCACGGCAGCAGCCUAGGAACCAUGGCCGCCUGCGAACUGACCGUGAUCAAAGCUAUCGCCGUCGAACGCCAUGAUUAGGCUGGCCCUGUACUGGAGCUAGGGACCGAGCCAUGCACCAAGGCUGAUCUCGUGCCGCUGCCAUGUCUCCCUACCUCGUCUCUCUGUGCCGCUCGAGUGUUGCAGUCAGCCCGCACCAGAGCCCAUCGCUGCCGGUGCCGAAGCUGCUGCCACCGUGCUGUCCCUCUGCUCUGCUCUGUACUGUUUUCCCUAUCUCUCCCCUCUCUCCGUCUUUCUUCUGUCUUUCUCUUGAACGGAUGGACGCAGGAGGAAACGUGGACGGAAUAGCAUCGGGAGCCUGGGUACUUUCACGUCACUCCAACCAUGGGGCAGUCCCAUGAAUCCACUACGUCAUAUUUUUCUCUCCAUGAACGUGGUGCACAUAAAUCAAAGGGUGGAAGCAAGUAGUUCACGGAACAGUGCCAUGCAAAGGCCACGUUCCAUAGAGAGGUGCAUGCCAGCAAUUAUGCUGAGUAGAAAAUAGUAAGUACACCUAGGAGAUAGGCAUGAGAAACUGAGCAAGCCCAUUUCCCCUUCCAGGUAAAAUCCCAGAAAUUUCCUAAAAUACUAGAGCAGUUCCAAAGCCUACACAGAACCUUUCACACGCCUUCUCCACAAUUUAAAAUUCUAGAAAUAAUUCCUAAUAUCCUUGUCGUACCCCUUUCUUUAUUAAAGCUAUAAUGAUCCAUAUGCCCAUCAUCCCACCUCCGAACCCCUUGAUUUCUUCUACUUAAAAAUACUCUAAAAUGAAACCCCUGCACAUCCAUAUCCUUUUUCAUAAUUUCUGGUGCCCAUUUAAAUUCUAGUUAUGCUUGUCUUACGUUUUCUUUUAUUAGCGCUAACCCAUAGUUGCACUCAACUACUAACACAUCUUAGCACCAUAUAUUCGUGUACGUGUGUACACUAGAACACGCAUUUAAAUACCCAAAUAUUCACGAUACCCUUGCGUCCAUGCACACGUAGUACGUAUAUACGCACACCUGUAUAUAUAUGACCAACCUCACCUUAAUUAAACCCUAACAUAUACAUACGUGUAUAUGCCACUAAACUAGCUAUCGCUACUAACCUUGCAUUUCGGUGCCGCCUGUCCCAAUCUAUAUGUAUAUGUAUAUAUGCACGUACCUAACUAUCCAAGCCGCUCUCAUGUGUACUAGCGCGUAUAUGUGGAACUCACCUAGAUAACAAUCCGUCACCAAUAGGGUCGACCCGUCUGGUACCAUUUUCUCUUCCUUGGUCGAUUAUGCCUGUUUGUUCCACCCGUUGGGUGUUUUCCUUGUUUGUCAAUGCUAGACAGCGUAGGAUAGAAGAAGCAGAGAGAACGGGAUGGAACCCAGAAGCAGAAUUACACAAAGACGAAGAAACAAGAAGCACAGGAAUUAGAAUCUCAAAAUAAAAAUAUAAUCGCCAGCGAGCGGAGGCAAGUCCUAACACCCACCUACCCCUCUCUCCUCCAUAUAUUGUGCCACAUCCACCCUAACUCCCCAUUUUCACACCACCACCAUAUUUUACUAUUUCCGUUACAACACCUACCACACUUCUUUAAUAAACCUAAUUCAUAUUAACUACACCCUUCUUUUGUUUGUUUAUGGGUAUGAGUAAUAUGAGAUGUUGUGCUACGAAAUGAGCUAUGUGAUAUUGUAUGAAUACUUGUAAUAUGUUGCAAGCUCUUAUAUAUAUAUAUAUACAUACUAUGACAUAGUUAAUGUAUGAUACAAAUAUUUAUGAUAUUCCAUAAGCCCUUAAAAUAUGGAUGAGCUUGAGAACAUGAACCGUGUUAAUCGGAUAUAAUCUGGUGAUCUAAAACUUGUCUUCGACGGGAGCGAGUGGAGGUAUUUCACGUGGUGCGGACUACCUUGGCAGGUUCGCCUAGUGAGGGUUCCUGUGGGAGAUACUCGCUUCGGUCAUAUAAGGACCGGUUCAUUUGCCAUCUCACCUAGCCAGAAUUUCGUACAGCCACAUGUCUGUAUGGGCAGACUUGGUCUCACACCCCGUUAGGUAGCAAUACAACUACUACUAGGAGGCCGGAGUGGCAACGGACUAUCAGGAGAGGACACGGUUGCUGGGUGAUCUUCCGUGGUCUGGUCGGCAUGGUUGCUAUGUGAUCUUCCAUGUAAAAUUACUGUUGUGCCCUAUGUGAGCAUUGUUUAUUGAAUUCGGAUGUUGCGUGAUCAUCCCUUAAAAUUGGAUGUUGUGUGACCAUCCAAUCGUCGUGUAUUUCCGACCCCUGAAUAGGCCGUGGUAGUAUUGUAUGGAUAUCUAAGGUCAUUCCAUCCGGGUACGAGAUCUCGGUAAGCCUGUUGCACCACUGGCCCUGGUGUCGGCUUUGCUUACCAUGUGGGGAAAAGUGUACAAUCUCUGCAGAGUGUAUUGAAUCUAUUCGAAUAGCUACGUCCUUGGAAUGGGCAAUUGCUGGGAUGAGGUCUCAAAUGAUUAGAUGCUUUUAUGAAUAAUGAAACUGUGAUACUCUGGUAAGUUGUAAUCAAUUAAUCUAUAAGUUACAAUUUAUAAACUCCGGGAACUGGUGAGAAGGGGUAAUACUCUCCCAGGGCCCACACACAUAUUAUAUUUAUAUGUAACUCCAUUUGUGACAAAAACACUUUCACCAUCAUCUAACACCUCCACAUAUAACCUCCGCCAUCCACCUCACUUUAUCUUAAAGUUAGGGCUUGCUGAGUACUUUGUGUACUCAAUCUCCUCCAUUCCAUGAUUUUAGGAGAAAAGCUGUCGGAGCACAUAUGAGGAUGGAGCUAUCAAAGCUACGCCAGGAUGGGACAACACAAGUACACUUGAGGAUGAAAAUGUACAAUUAUGCAAAGGAGCUACUCGAGGACCACUACGAUAAAGAUAUAGGAAUGAGUUUAGGGAUAAGGAUUUUCGUCCGCACUCCAAGUUGCCUGUAGGAAUGGAACCACGACAUAGUAGGAUCGCUGUGUUAGAACUCUGAUGUAUAUCACAAGGCCAAUGGCCAAAUCUAUGUAGAUACAAACUUUGUAACAUAUUUUCCCCGUUAUUAAUAAAAGUAUGGUUUUUGAUAUCAAUCUUGUUCAAUCUGUGCAUAUCAGCUACUGAUCCAGGGACUGAUACGUGAUGCACAGUGGACCCUAAAAUAAGGGCCCGACAUUAUGCCUUGUAGGACACAGCUUGCCGCUACUCCGGUGGGCGGGAUCUUAUGGAGGAGAUGGUUGCCUCAGACUUCUAGCCGCUUGGCUGAUAUAGUAAGGAUUUUAAGGUUGAGAUGGUUCAGGUUCCAGUUUUGGUGCCUACGGAGGGUCUUCCCUUUCCUCGGUUUGAGAGGGAGCUUUCGGAAGAUCAGUUGAAGGAGUCUUUCUUGGCUGAGGUGGAAUCCUGUGUGUGUAGGAUAGUGGGAAAGAUGUCCAAGCGGGAGUAUCUUGUCCGAUGGACUUCACGGGGCAUGAUGCCCCCGUUUUAAUCGCGUUCUCGAGGAAUAUGGCAUUCACUAUGAAGAAUAUGAAGUGCCUGCAGAGGUAUUUGCGAGCAUUGAGAAGAAGAGAGAUGUUGUUACAAGAAAUGUAACAGCGGUAGUGGAGGCAAAGAAGCUGAAGGGUGGCAGGGUGACUAAAGUCAUUGCCAAAAACCACAUGUUGGUGUACUAGAAGAGGUCUUCGCUAGUUCUUCUUUUGAUGGUGGUUCUUCCAGCACUGGCUCAGGGUCGACAGAGCCUGUUGAAGAUUUCGUUGCUUCGACUCGUGUGAGAGAAGUUGGUGCCCCUGUCGAAACCGAGCCUUUGACGAUGAACCACUUCCCUCGCUACUUGGCAAGGAUUCUUCUAAUACGGAGGUGCCUGUUGGCGAGCCUGCGGCUGUCAAGGCGGCCACCUUUGACUUGGAGGAAAACUCAAGGGAAGCAGAGUCCGUGCCUCGUCCACCGCCUGUAGCGGAUGGUGCUCCCUCUGCUAAGGCGCCUGCUAGGCUGCUGGGCCUUUAUAUGGGUACUCUUUGCUGCUUGUGUUUUCCAUUUUUGUUUGGUCCUUUGAUGCUUUGCUUCAUCUAAAACGUAUGAAUUUUUGUCAGGUGAGGCUUUCUCCGCCUUGGCUGGCGUGGAGGAGCUUGCCAAGGGUGCGAGCAUUGCUCAUGAUGGCCUUGAGGUGCCUCCGUCAUGCUGCCCUGCGCCCAACAUUUCUGGCUUUGUGACUCCGGCCAGAAUUGGUGCUUGUAACCAUCUGGUUUCCUCUUAAGUUUGUUGGUUUUUGGAUGUUAUCUCUUGACAUGUGUUUUGAUGUGCUAUGCAGCAGCUUCUGACUCCAUGCUUUCUGGUUGGGCCAACGCUGUUCAUGAAGUUCAUAGUGUUAUCAGAGGUUUGCUUUUGGCCUUGUGACCUAGCAUUGAUUUUUCUUAUGUUUUCUUACGUCUUUGUUCUUGCAGAGCGCUUCUGGCGGGAGCUUUGCCACAUGGACUAUUCCACCCUCCUUCAUGUGCAAUUCGAGCAUCAUAGGCUCAUGAGUGUUUUCUUUUUGUUCUGUUUGUUCUUUAUUUGUCUUGCUAUUCUUGCGAAGGUUGCAUUGUUUGUGAUUUUUGCCAUCAGGGGCAUCACAUGGCUGUGGCUUUGGAGGAGCGUUGCUCCCAAGAGGUGAUCAAUUGUGAUGAAACCAUUAAGCUCCUGAAGGAGGAGAAUGAGUCUUUGGAGGCCACGAAGGCUCAUCUAUCGGAGGAUGCAAAGCUUCUUCCCGCGGCUCGCGAGGAGGUUGCUUCUCUGAAGAGGGAGAAGGAAGGGCUUGAACUAACCGUGGCGAAGCUAUGGAAGGAAGUAGAUGAUGUGGGUGCGGCCAAAGACAUGGCCGUGCAAAGGCGUGCUAAGGCCGAAGAGAUUUUGAACUGCCUCCACGAAGAGCUUGAGGCGGAACACAAAUUGGUCGCUUCCUUAAGAGACCGACUGAAGGAGGCAGAGGUGCAGGCUAUGGCUGUGGUGGGGUUGUAUCGUGACGCCCUGGGCUAAUUUGGCGGCAGCACCUCCGCCCCUCCUGAAUGCGGAGACAUUGCCACGAUCUUGGCCUGGCUAAAGUCCCAUAUCACCAAGCUUCCUGACUUUGUUGGGGGGCUGUUGAUUUUGGAGCUUUGGCAAGGGUGUCUUCCUUUGGCCUCCUUCUUAAGCGUGAGGGCUACGCUCACGUUGAGUCAGUGUAGAAAGAGAACAUUGCCUCCGCCUCAGACGUUGGUGAGAGUACUUCCGGCAUGCGGAGGUCCGUUAGCAACUUCAUUGGCUCUUUUUGGGCUAAGUUCAGACAGGCCGAGGCAAGGAAUAUGGCUGAGGCAUGUCAUCUUGAGGUAUUUUGAGUUUCUCCUUGUCGGGUGCACACUCUUGUGCUCUAUCUUUUCGUUUCUUAAUUUUAGCUUGGUCAUUUUAUAGGAAUUUGAGAAGAGAAAGGCGAAGGUUGCUGCUCCCAGGCCUGCGGUUGCUCCUGCUUUCGAUCUUCCGCCGACUGGUGGUGCUGAGGCGCAGCAGUAGGCGGCCGAUGCGAAUGUGGUGAAGGAAGUGGGUCCUUUUGAUAGGCCUUCCUCUCAAGUGUGAGGGGUUUCGUAGUUUAGGGUGUUGCGUAUGUGAGACACUUAUAAAAUACAAUGCUUAACAUGUGUUUUGUAUCUAUAUAAAGUUUAGUAUCUUUGUUGAAAUUUCGUUUUGUUUGUUUUAAUUAUUUGCAAUUUGCGCUUUGGCCUGCGUAGGUCUCUAGUGGAGGACCUACAUAGGAAGUUUGCGAUGUAGCUAUGUUGUCUUUUUUACAAUGAAAUUUACGUUCUGUCGGAUUUUGGGAGUAUUGGUGUGUUGCGUUUCCCAAUCGGAAUGUUGUGGAUAUGUUUGACUUUAUCAAUUUUGAUAUUGACGAUGAACGAUCUGAGUUCAUUCAUUCGCUUGCGCAUCGUGGGUCCUGGCCUCCAUCCUAGGUGGUUGUUCCAACCUUUUUUUUCUUUAUUUGUUUGUUGCGUUUGAUGUUCUUGAACCUUUAUUAUUUCCUUGGCGCAACCUUCGUACCCGAUUUUGCGUAUCUUUGGUGAAGACAAAUAAGUGUUUCACCUACUGGAGGAUCCACAGCUUUUAGCAGAGCUCUAUCUUCCCAGUCUUCUAGAGAUUUGUUGCUCUCAGUCGGAUAAAUGUGUUUUUGAUGUAAAUGAAGGUGCAUUGUUCACUGUGCUUAUUUACUUUUUGUUUCCAGGUUGCUCUUCCUCCUCCUGCACGUGGUGUUCUUCCGCCGAACUUUCAAGAGGGGUCGUAUGUGUCUCUGAGGGGAGAUGUUUACAUCAUGGGGUGGAUUCUGGAUUGGUGGCGUCACCAAUUUCCUUCGCGCACGGUGGACAACCUAGUCGAGUAUGUUGCUCAUGACUACUGCGAGGAGAUACCAAUAUUUGGUCCUUCAAACGUUAGGAUUGUUCAUGGUGGUUGAUUUCUUCGUCGUCUAGGUUACGAGGGUUUUUAGCUUUAGCGAUUGCGGUCAAGUUUGUGAUUUUGAUUUUAUUUUUCUCUCUAUCUUUUUUUUUUGAUGUAAUCAGCAGUUGUACUCAUCAUGAAUAUGAAUAAAAGUUGAUUUUUCGUGGAACAUCUUAUUACAUUUCAGUUGGAACUACUUUCUAUUUUGUUCCUUGCUUCUGGCAGACUAGCUGGUUGUGUAGGCUGACCUAUGUGUCACUGUGGUGCUGAUCCUAAGGAUCUUUGUGUUGCUGCUGAUGUCGCAGAGAUAUGAGUUGCUCUUGAUCUUGCGAAGAUUAGCUGGUUUGCGAUUGAUGUGCUUGAUGGAGGCUUUCUUGAUGGGUGCCUUUGCUAGCUUGCUCUUCUUUUAUCUUUUUUAUUGUUCUCGUCGAACAUUGGUGAGGCUAACCUUCACAAUGAAGCUUUGUUGGUCGUAGGGGGACGUUACGAGACUUCGUGCGGUACCCUUCCAUAACCUCCAAUACUUAUAUGCAUUGCUUUUGUUGUAGCUGUACACGACCCUUUGAUGGUUGUUCAUCACAGUCCCUUGGGUUGCAUGUUGUGCUCUUAGGUUUUCUCUCACCUUCUCUAGGUUUGGUUAUUAUGAGUCUUUGUGCCGUACCAAUUGUGUUGCUGAUUGGUAGGCUCACUCUAGCUUCCAUGCUUCUCUUGCUUCUGUUUUCUAUGUUUUGUAACUGGGUUGUUUGUUUAAUUUGUGACAAUCUUGUCCUGACUGGGGUUCGUGUUGCUUUAGCAUUUGGUUUUAUAGUGGUGGCUAUAAUGAUUGCAUAUAUAUUGUUAGCUGAGUCAUUAUUGUUGGUUGUAUUUGCUGGUUGUGGUUGUUGAUGCUGAAAGGAUUGUAUAAAUUUUGUGCUUGCUUUUAGCAUUAACAUCCGAUUCUGUUUUGAGAACCUUUGCCAUUUCUUGGCGAAGGUAGGUUGUGAGUUUUAUCCUGAGGUUCUUUUAGGUCUUUGCUAGGAUUGUUUGGUUAUUUGUACAAGUUUUGAUGCCUGAUGAGGACAGGGCUUUGUCGUUUUUGACCGGGUUGACCUUGCUGCCUGGUUGUUUGCCAAGUCUUUUGCUAAGGCCUUGGUGUUUUUUCACCAUUAAGGACAUUCCGACCAUUUUAAGCCUUCGGCUUUAUGUUGCGGAGGGUCCUUGUUUUGCAUAAUGCUUUCUUGUCGAAUGUCAUGGCCUUGUUGCUGGCCUUUUUCAACUUGUGAUGUGUUGUGUUCUUGUGGGGUGAUUCCUCUUUAUAUUUCAGAGGGUUUUACAUAGGUUCUGCAUUGAAAAAAACCUCACCUCCACUAGGAGUACCCCUGUGAGGAAAAGAGUGUAGUCCUUGAUUUUGUAGAAAAAACAGAAAUAAAUCCUAGGGAAAGCUUGGUCGCCUUUGCUUAUAUUUGGCGAAGGUUGGCCUUACAUUCAGAUGGAAAAUCUACGUAAGUUGUCUAUGUUCCAUGUGUGUGCGGAGGGUCUUCCCUCAUGAUCGUAUAGAUGGAACGAUCCUGGUAUCCUUGCUGGCCUCGCCGUGUAGGGUCCUUCCCACUUUGGUUGAAGCUUUCUGGCAUUUGAAGAAUUUCCUUUUCUCCUAAGGACUAGGUCUCCAUCUUGUAUAUUCUUUCAUACGACCUUGCGUUCCCUCCAUCUUCUGGUAUCUUGCUGGUAUUUGCUGAUGUUUUCCACUGCUUCUAGCCUUGAUGCUUCGACUAUUUCUUUGCAAUAGCCUUCGUCUUUGGCUAGUAGUUGUUUCAUAGAGCGGAGGCUUUGGUGCUUGAUUUCCUCUGGGAGCAUUGCUUCUUCGCCGUACAGGAGCUUAAAAGGGGUGAACCCAGUGGCUCUUGAGGCGGUUGUGUUAUGAGACCACACAACUCUUGGUAACUCUUUGGUCCAUUUCCCUUUCUGGAGGUUGAACAACAUCUUGGAAAUUGCAGAGAAUAUUAUCCUAUAUGCUCUUUCUACCACUCCGUUUGAUUUUGGGUGAUAGACUGAGGCGAAGGCAAUUUUGGUCCCUAUGCUUUGGCAGAAUUCUCUGAUUUUUUCUGAGUCAAACUAUUUUCCAUUAUCCACUUUCAACAAGCUUGGGACUCCAAAUCUGCACACGAUGUUCUGCCAGAAGAACAUCUUGAUUGUUUCUAAGGUGUUCGUUGCUAGCGGUUUUGCCUCGAUCCAUCUUGUGAAGUAUUCUAUGGAGAUGACAGUGAAUCUAUUUCCCCCCUGAGCCAUUGGCAAAGGACCUACCAAGUGCAUCCCCCAUCUUUGCAAGGGCCAUGUUGGUGCUAUAAGUUGUGUGGAUGCUAAGGGCUUUGCCUGAUGUGGUGCGAAGGUUUGGCAAUCCCUAUAGGUUCUCACCAUGUUUUCUGCAUCCUUGAUAUGUGUUGGCCAGUGGAAUCCUUGUCUUAGCGCUUUGGCUGACAACGCAUGUGGCCCUAUAUGGGAACCACACAUUCCUUUGUUUAUUUCACACAGGAGUUCCCUACCUUCACCUUGUGAUAUGCAUUUCAGCAGAGGCUGCACUACUCCUUUGUUGUAUAAGUUUCCCACAAUGAUGGUGUAAUUCCUUGCUCCUACUUCAAUUCUCUUGGUUGUUGCUUCGCCCUUCGUGUUUGCCUUGUCAUUUAGGGAGUCUAUGAUUGCUUAUCUCCAAUCUUUGCCUUCUACCAGCAGCACCAUGCAGAAUGCCUUCGGCACUGAUUAUGUCGCACGUGAUUUGAGAACCUGGUAGAAGGUUUCUAGAUGGUAUGGGAAAGUUAUUUGCUGUCUCCUUUGCUGUUUUCAGAUCUUGGGAUGUGCUGAAGAGUAAAUCACCUGAACCUUCGUUCAAGUCCUCUCAUGACUCCUAGAUACUUUGCCAAUUCUUGGUUGUGGCCUAGAUAUUCUUUCUCAACCUGUCCUACUACUAUCUGGGAAUCUAUUUUGAUUAACAGGAAUUUCGCCCCUGAUGCCUUCGCUUUGUUGAGUCCGAGGAUGAGUCCCUCGUACUCUGCUAUGUUGUUAGUUUCCUUGAAUUCUAGUCUUGCUACAUACUUUAACUUUGAGCCAGACGAGGCAAUCACAACCGCCAAAGCUCUGACUCCUACUUGUCCCCAUGCUCCAUUUGUGAAUAGGGUCCAUGUUUGGUGGCUUUCCUUUUUCUCCACUUGAGCCGAGGGUAUCCAAUCUGCCAUGAAGUCAGUUAGUGCUUGGGAUUUGAUUGUGGUUCUAGGGACAUAGGUGAUGUUGAACUAAGAUAAUUUGGCUACCCAUUUGCCUAUCCGUCCGUAGGCUUCUUUGUUUCUAAGGAUAUCGCCUAAGGGUUCUACCAUUGGGACCUUGAUCUCAUGGCUUUGGAAAUAAUGCUUCAACUUUCUUGAUGCAGUUAGCACCGCAUAGGUGAUUUUCUUGAUUUCUGUGUAGUUUAAUUUGGCUCCUGACAGAGCUUUAGACACAUAGUAAACGAGCCUUUGAAUGAUUCCUUGUUGUUCCUUCUUCUCGUGCACCAGAACCGCGCUAACUGCAUGCUCAGAGGCUGCCAGAUAUAAUACUACUGGAAUCUCUAGUUCUGGCACGGUUACCAACAGGUUGGUUGCAAUGUAGUUUUUGAGCUGCUUGAAGGCCUCCGACUGCUUCGGUCCCCAUUUCACUUUGUCUCCUCCUCUCAAACCUUAAAGAAUGGGAGGCUUCGUUCGGUGGAUCUUGAUAUAAAUCUAUUGAGCACUGCUACCCUGCUAGUAAGUUUCUGCACCUCCUUCCUAGAUGAAGGUUCUGCCAUUGUCAUGAUUGCCUUAGUUUUGUCAGGGUUGGCCCCGAUUCCUUCAAAACUGAUAAUAUAGCCAAGCAUCUUCCCCUUGCUGACCCCAAAAAUGCAUUUCUCUAGGUUGAGCUUGAGUCCUGCUGAAUCAUAGGUUGGCGAAGGUUUCUUUCAAGUCUUGAAUGCGAUCUUCCUUGUUUCUAAUCAUCAACACAAUGUUGUCGACAUAUGCUAUUAUGUUUCUCUGACUGCCUAGGACCAUGAUGAUUCUGGCAAAGGUCGCGUCCGCAUUUUUGAGUCCUUCUGGCAUUUUGGUUUAGCAAUAAGUGCCAAAUAGCGUUGUGAAGCUUGUUUUGCCCUCAUCCUCCUUCUGGAGCUAGAUUUGAUGAUAGCCCAAAAACAAUCAAGUAGUGAGAAUCUAUGGCAGCCAAUGGCCUUGUCAAAAGAAGCGUCUAUUCUUGGCAAUUGGAAGGAGUCUUUCACACAAGCUUUGUUUAGGUCGGUGAAAUCUAUGCACAUUCUCAUUUUCUCGUUCUUUUUUAGCACCAGGACUAUGUUCGCAAGCUAGUCUGGAUACAUGAUCUCCCUAAUGACGUUUGUGUCUAAAAGUCUCUGCACUUCUGCCUUCGCUGCCUGGAUUCAUUCUUUUGACAUCUUCCUUUGCCUUUGUUUUCUGGGCCUCAUUUUUGGGUCAAUGUCGAAAGAAUGGUAGAUUAUGUCCCUACUGACUCCUUGCAGGUCGGAGGCAGUCUCGGUGAAGAUGUCCUUGUUUUUAUGCAAUGUGUUUAACAGUUGCAACUCGUCUUCUUCACUUAUGGUAGUUAUGAUGAUGAUUUUUCUGUCUAGUAUCACAUCUUUCAAAGGGGUGCAUUUUGUUUCCUUCUGAUCGGCUAAGUCUGUCUUCCCCUUGGGCAUGUCUAGAGGUUGCGGAGCUUCAUUUUGGGUGGAAUCCAUAGAGUUAAUAUUUCUGAAUGACUUGUAGAUUGCUCUUUCGAUGUUUCUUGCCUCUUUGUGGCAUCCAUGCACAGUGAUAACUCCAUGCAAGGCUGAAAUCUUCAUGCAUAGGUACCCCAUGUGAAUGGUUGUGUUGAACUUGUUCAGGAAACCUCACCCAAAAAUGGCGUUGUAAGGGUAAUGUAAGUCCACCACGUCGAAGGUAGUGUACUUUGUUCUUGCGUUUCCUGAGUGGCCGAAGGAUACUAGAAGUGAGACCUUCCCUAGAGCAUGGAACUCCUUUCCCCCAAAUCCAAUCAGUGGUGAUUCUGACGGUUGGAGCUGGCUUCUGCUGAGCUUCAUUUGGUCGAAGGUUCCGGCAAAGAUUAGGUCGGUGGAACUUCCUAAGUCUAUUAGGAUUUUGCUUAUUUCCCAUCUCACCAUGUUUGCAGUUAUGACCAUAUCGUCCGCGUGCGGGUGACUUUCUCCGUGAGGGUAAUGGGUGUUCUAGACCAAUCAGUGCAUUGGACUAGCCCCUAAAUUGCAAUGUUCUUGACCAAUCUGAUCUUUCUUCUACGUCUUGGUCUGAAAUUCCAUCGAUUAUCCUCCAGCUAUUGGCAGGAUCAUGCCAAUUGUGGGCAGGGGGUGUGGGGUCCAAUUUUGUUUUCUAGGUGGGGCUCAGGUUUAGGCUGCUAUGGCGAUUGAAGCAAUUGGAGUGUUAGGUUAGGUGGUGGUGGCAGUGCUUCAGGCCUACUCAUUGAUUGGUGAGGUUGACUAGUUUCAAUGUAUGUAAUUUGCGGAGGUCUGGGACUCAUGUAGGUAGGGGAUGCUUCUUGGCAAAGGGAGCUGUGCUCUGCUUGUGGCUGCACCGUGUGCUAGGCUGGUAGGAAGUUUGGGUAGUAGGCGGAGGCUAUGGUGGAUGGGUAGUUCAAAUUGCUGGGCUGCUCCCCCCAAGUACGAAGGAUAGCUAGGCUGCUGGAAGGUAUGGUUUACUUCCCUUGGUUGGUUGGGUUGCGGAGGUUGUGGGGCGGUCCUGCUAUUGAUUCUUUCCUAGGUUUCCUUUGUGUCUGGGCAAUCUCUAGUUGAGUGUCCUUUUUCUUCCCCAUGAAAGAAAUAGUAUUACUUUGGCUGCCUCUACUUUUGAUUUCUUCCCCGAUCCCUGCUUUGGCUACUUCCUUCUGCCUGGUUGAACCUUCGUGCCGUGUUCGACGCCUCUAGCGGUGGGAGCAUUCUACCUGGCUGGUCAUUCUUUGGUUGUUCAAUGUUUAACAUCUGGCCGCCCCAUUCUUGUUGUGGCUGACGACCAUCUUAGUUUGCAUUGUUUCUCUGUAGAUUCCUAUCACUGGUUUGCUUUCUCUGCAAAUUAUGCUCCUCUAGCCUUUUGCGGAAGUCAUUAUCAGAUUUGUAGUACUUUUCAAACUCAUGGUAUAGCUCCUGCAUAGAUGCUAGUUUCUCCCUAGCCAAGUGGGCCGCGAAGGGUCCCAUGCAGAGGCCCUUGAUUGUUGCCUCGAUGGCGACUUCCUCCGACGCGCGUGGUGCCUUCGCUUUGGUUUGGACGAACCUCUAAAAGUAAUCUCAUAAAGCUUCCCCCUGACCCUGUCGGCACUAGAACAGAUCUGUGGAAGUCAGUGAUUCGGUGUCGAAUCCUUGGAAAUUUGCCAAAAUUUUGUCAUAGAGGUUCUCCCAUGAGUAGAUGGAGCCUGGUCUGAGCAUCGAAUAAUAGGCCAGCACAUCUCCUUCAGCCACAAUCACAAAGGACUUGGCCAAGACAGUCUUGUUUCCCCCUGCUGAAGCCACAGCCGCCUCGAAACUCAUCAAGAACUAGCACGAGUCUAUUUUACCAUUAAGCAUGGGGAGUGUGAUUGGUUUUUAAGAUGUCGGCCAUGGCGAAGCUUGCAGUUCUUUGGAUAGUGGAGAUUUCAAAUCCAUGGUCCCCGAAUCAUGCCACCAUAGCCCACGGGUUGCACGUUCACAGUAGUGGUGAUGUUGUUGGGCUGCACUGCGGGCUGUGGUGGAGGUUGCAUGCUUUAAAUUUUAGCCUACAAGAUGGAGAGCUGUUGUCUGAUCUUCGUUGCCUACAUGGCUUCUAGUGCCACCUGCUGGCUGGCCGCGUAGGCCACCGCGACUCUAUCCCUUUCUUGCUGUAGGCUCUGCAGCUGAGCCUCUAGUUGCCGAAGCUCUUGGACUACUGCAGGUUCUGGUUGUUCCUUUGCGAGGUGGAGCCUGGUCCACCAUCGGCCGUUCGUCCUCUGCAUCCUCAUUCCCUGCUGUUGCAUAUGUGCUACGAGCAACACACCUUGGCCUUCCCAUUCUAGUGGUCUCAGUCGACAUUCUUGUGGCACUGUUUCUUUCGCCAACCAUCAUGGGUUUUCCUUUGGCCCCACAGUGGGCGCCAAUGUUGGAAGAAGCUGUGGCUCCUCCAAUCAGUGUGAUUGAUCGAGGCCGCCCGAUCGCUGCUGUGAGUGGAUUGAGAUUGCAAUGUUUAGACUCAAAACCCUAAAAUGAGCAUAGCGCCAAUAAAUUGAUUUCAACUAACUCCUGCAAUAGCAUUUACAACCCGCUUAUAUAGGGCGCGGAUCCCGAUCGGGAUCCGUUACAAAGAUACCCCAUGACGGUGGUAGGAUAUUUUAGCAUAUUUCGCCACCACAGUCUACAACCUACAGGGCUAUGUGAGUAAUUUUGAACUACAGGCUCUGCACAUGCCACCACGUCGGAGCCCUAGUCCUGCCGUAGCUCGAACCUUCGCCCAACCUUCACCAAGGCCCGUUGAUCCUCCACCAUACGACCACCGAGGGAUCUCCGUCUGCCCCCUGAGGGUCCUUUGGCUCAUCCUUGGUCGGGUUCCACACGUCCUUCAUCAUGCAAGGGCCAAAGGAUGUGCCCUUUUUCCCCCGUGAUCCUUCGCGCCAGGUCAGUUCCUGCGCACAUGACUCACCAUACGAUCUGCAUCAGUCUUAAGUUUGCUCGAGACCUUCAUCCCUCAUCAUCUGAAGGUCAGGAGUGCAGAGGUUUGGCAUCUGUGAUCGAGCUAAAUCCUGUUUGGCAUCUGUGAUCGAGCUAAAUCCUUUCUCUUUGACGCAGCUGGGCGUGAAGGCGCAGUUGGGUCUAUAUAUAUAUAUAUAUAUAUAUAUAUAUAUAUAUAGGCAAAAAAAUGGACGCUUCUCGUGGUUAGCGGUGAAAAAUCCACAACAUGAGGCUUCGCGUGUUGAUCCCCUAACCACUCGUAUGGAAAAAUGGAUCUCAUGGCCCAUUUAGUUUGGUUUUUGGUGUUCGAUGGCCAUCAUGACCAUUUGGUCUAACAUUAUUUGCUCAUAUCCGGAUGAUCAAACCUCAAGUGUGACAUUAGAAAGAGUGACAAAGACCUUCAAUUACAUGCAACAGUCUAAGACAUGUUUGGAAUCGAGGGCCCCGACAAUGUAAGAGAGAGCAUGUUGACGCCAAUGGUCACCUCACCAUAGGACAAAGGUCUUCCGCACGAAGUUGUGCAAAUAUCGAGGCAAUGUCUAGGGUUUUGAGCCACAUAAAUUUCUCUCUUUUAUCAGGGCCAAGCUCUCCUUUUUAUAGGGUAUGGUUAAAUAAGUUUUGAGUACAUAAAUGUACAUCCUCAUGACAACCACUAUGUAAAAAAAGGCACUUUACACAUGUGCAUUUAUGUGCAUCACAGACGCGUCCGCGUGCAUCGAGAAUAAUACAUUUGUAGUAAGUCUUAUUACAGACACGCAUACCUACAUGAGACUAUAAUUAUGGACACAUGUCUAUAGUUAGGAUAUACUACAAACACCGGUGGUGCAAACGUCUAUAUGAAGAAUGAUAUUAUAGACGCGUUGAAAGCCCUAGUUUGGUUUUGGAUAAUUGAUGAAACCCUAGUACUAACCUCUAUGCUAAGUGUGUGUAGACUUAAUGAGGUUGGUACAUACCAAGUGAUGGAGCAAGAGAUGAUCAUGGUGAUGAUGGUGAUGACCACAAGAUGAUCAAGUGCUCAACUUGGAAAAGAAGAAAGAGAAAAACAAAACCCUAUGGAGAUCAAGGCAAAGGUAUUGCUUAGGGUUUUGGUUUUGGUGAUCAAGACACCAUAGAGGGUGUGAUCACAUUUAGGAUAGAUAGCCGUACUAUAAAGAGGGGAAUUCUUUGGCUAAGCGGUUAUCAAGUGCCACUAGGUGUCAUUGUUCUUGUGCAUGCAUUUAGAACCUAGUGAGCUAACUUAACUCCUUCGAAGAAAAUGAUUGUGAAAAUGCUAACACACGUGCACAAGUUGGUUUACACUUUGUGGUGUUGGGACACUUUGAGAAGGAGGUGAAGUUUGAAAGGUAGAAAGAGGAUGGGUUCCUCUCUCCCUCCCGCCGAGCUUGUGAGGCGGGAUUCGACGCUUUUCGAGAAAAUGAAGUGCAUAUUUUUCUAUUGCGCCGGUGGGAAAUUUGGAGAAGUCGCGGGAGUGUUUCUCGCUGAGGAACACUCACCGGACGCUGACUCAGAAGCACCGGACGCUGUUCCUGUGCGUCCGGUAAGCAGGCAACCUGACUCGGUUAGGGUUAGGCACCGGACGAUAGGCACCGAAUGCAGCUUGGAGCGUCCGGUGGUGUGCGUCCGGUGUGCGGGCGUUUUGCGACCCUCUCUGCGCAUGGGUCCGGUGAGCACCGGACGCUGAGGGUGCGUCCGGUGGCUUGCGUCCGGUGACCCUGCGAGUUUGUGGAACUCUCUGCGCAUGAGUCCGGUGUGCACCGGACGCGUCCGGUGCUAACUUGCUCAAGCGUCCGGUGCUCUGCAGGUUACCGUUAGACUCUGACACGCGGCUGAUGUUGGAGCACCGGACGCUGGUGUUGAGCGUCUGGUGCCCCUUUAAGAGCGUCCGGUGACCCCGCGUUUUGCCCAGUGAAAGAGCCAACGGCUCUAUUUGUUUGAGGGCCUAUAUAUACGUGUUUGGCCGGCUUAGGGCUCUCUCUCUUGGCAUUCUAGCAUACUUGACAUCCUUGUGAGCCUAAGCAAACACCUCCCACUCAUCUCCUUCAUAGAUUAAACAUCUUUGUGAGAUUGGGAGUGAUUCCAAGUGCAUUUGCUUGAGUGAUUGCAUCUAGUGGCACUUGGGGAUCGUUCUAGCUGCGGUUUUCUUGUUACUCUUGGUGGUUGCCACCACCUAGACGGCUUGGAGCAGCGGAGGAGGAUUGGCACGAGUUGGUGAUUGUUCGUGGCCAUCUCCCGGUGAUUGUGAGGGGUCUUGUACCUUCCCCGGCGGAGAGCCGCAAGGUAACUCUAGUGGAUUGCUCGUGUCAUUGAGCUACCUCACUUGUGGGUAGGUUCUUGUGGUGUCCUAGUGAGGACGAGGUUCGUGCUACACCUCUUAGCCACCGAACCACCAAGUGUUGGUCGACACAACGGGGACGUAGCGUGCCGGCAAGCACGUGAACCUCGGAAGAAAAAUUGGUGUCUCAAUUGUGUUUGAUUGGCAUUCUCCCGGUGCUUGAUUGUUUAUAUUGGUGAUUGGUUCAUCCCCUACACGGCGGUAUAAAUAUCUCAUCUUAUCUUUACUUACCGCAAACUAGUGUAAUUAGUUUAGUUGCUUACUUUGACUUGUAGAGACUUAGUUCUUGUGUGCAUAGAGAUCAUAGCAACUAGAAUUGUUGGGUAGGUGGCUUGUAAACACCCCUUUAGAGCUAGAGCAAAAAGCUUCGCUUUGUUUUUUUACUAACCUUUUGCUCUAGUGAGUUUGUAGAAUUUUUAAAUAGGCUAUUCACCCCCCCUCUAGCCAUAUUAGGACCUUUCACGCGUGCAGUCUACAAAUGUCUAUAAUAUGGAUAUUACUAUAGACAUCAAUGGUAAAACUGUAUGUGUGGAGAACCAUAUUAUAGACACGUGAACUCUACGCACGUAUGUUUGGAGGAUACUACUACAGACAGUAAAAGCGUCUGUGUGACUAACUAUAUUACAGAUGCAUGCACUCUACACACAUCUGUAGCGAGGAUACUACUACAGACGUCGAAAGUAAAAAUGUCUAUAUGAAUGAUCAUACUACAUACACUCGUACUCUAUACACGUCUGUUGUUAGGAUACUACUAUAGAUGCGAUCCAUAACGGCAUCUAUUUGAAUGAUCAUAUAGUAGCGAUGCGUGUAUAGGAGCUUAUUACAUAAUCUUGUUAUCUAGUCAUGUCUGUAAUAUUUUUCUCACCAUAGACAUGUCUGUUGCCUAGCUAGACCCGUCUAUAGCCCACAUAUCAUAGCUAUAGAUGCAUAGAUCGCACACAAAUGGCAUAUAUAUACAACACACAUCGUAAUUUAUUAGUAGAUUAUUGUUCAUCAUACUAGCUCAUGUAUCACCCAUUUAGUAUCAUCCAAACAGACUAAGCAUCCCAUCUUAUCUUUGAUCUAUCCAGACAUGGCAAACAACAUGGCAUGAUCAUUGAUAGUCACAAAUAUUAUUGCUCUUAAUGGAAGUCCUGCUGUCAGAACGCAUCACACAUCGGCUCUCCAAACCUUCAUAGUCUCUCGAAUCCUUGCUUCACAGGCUCAAGGAACACGUCUAUAUCAAUGCCUGGUUGUCUAGGGCUAGAAACAUAAACGGUGACGAAAAGGUACUUUCUCUUCUAACACAAGUACGUCGGGAUGUUGUACAUGGUCAGGAUCACUGGCCAUGUGCUGCAGUCGGUCAUCCUCUCAUUGAAGGGAUUUAUUCCAUUUGUGUUCAAGGCAAACCGUACAUUCCUUAGGUCUGAGCUGAAUAGUUUAUUGUUGUUAUUGAAGUCUUGCCACUAACUACCAUCGAUCGGAUGUGUAAUCAUAUUGUCAUUGACAUUGCACUCAUCGUCCCACUAUGUCAUGUGCGUGGCUUUCUUAGGGUUCAGGAAGAUACGCCUAAAGCAGUCGCUCACUAGCAGGUACCACAUUACCAAGGCUAGAACUUUUCUUUUAUUUGCAUCGUUGCCUAAUGGAGUAUCCUCUAGGGGUUUAGAUUCUUGUACCAUCUUUUUCACACCCUUCUUAUUCCUCUUGUUCGCUAUGGAGGUUCUCCUCCACUGUAAAGGUCAUUGUUUUGCACUAGUUGGCCCCACAUUAGGGACAAUUGUCUAGACCUUUGAAUGUAUCACCACAAAAAAGGAUACAAGGUUUGGGGCAUACAUGGAUUUUUUCAACAUCCAUUAUCAAUGGACUUAUAACCUUCUUUGCAUGGUAUGUGUUGGCAAGAACUAUGUUUGGCUGUGGCAGCACCCAUGAAAGUAGACCUAACAGAUCAUCAAAACUGUAAUUGGACUAGUCAUACUUAGCCUUCAGGAUGAGUAGCUCAAGCACAAAACAAAGCAGUGUCUAGUGUGUCGGACAACCCUUCUCAACACCAUACACAGUCUCCUUCGAAGCUAUUUUCACCCUCUCUAGAUUUUCUAGACCUUUCUUUUAUAGUAAUAUUUCAGGUCCAAUGGCUCGAAGCAUGUCCUCCAAAUUGUCACCAUCAUCUUCAUCCCCCUCACGAGCUCCACCAUCAGUGCCGGCACCACCAGCAUUAUCAGCACCUUGUUCAUUGCCAAAGUCAACACCUUGUUCAUUGCCAUAUAUAGUCACAGCCCAUAUCUCCACUGUUGUCAUAUUGGUGUAGAUACUUCAGGGUUUUAGCGUCAAGUUCUUGAUCAUUGUAUGUAGUCCAGAACAAAUCCUCGCAUAACCAGGUGUGAUUUGAUGGUAUCCACAUCUACAAAUGUCAUACAGUUCUUGCAAUCUUUGCAAGGACAAAUAAUUGUAUUCCUAUUAUUUAUAUGUCAAGAUUGAUGCAUGCUUCUUUGCGGCUUCAAUAAAUUUGUCCACCUCUUCAUGAAAAUCUUAAUCGAUCUUUGACCAACCAUAUAUCCAAGAGUUCCUGUACUCUAUCUUUUAAAAACAAAACAACAAAAUAAAAUACAUGAAAUGAAUCAAAUUAAUCUUUAAUUAAUUAAUUUCCCAUUAAUGCGUAUAAAUAUUCAUAAUUAUGUAUUAAAUGGUUAAAAUAUAAAAUUUGAUAGACAAAAAUUACCAACAAUUAUUAUUUUACCCACUACCUUCCAUGCCAACCCCAUUCCAAUUUAAUGAAACAUAAAUUAGAAAAUAAAAAAACAAACCCUAGAUCUAGAACUAGAUAAAACAUACAUCAAACUAGGAUGUAAUCUCCAUUAAAAUCAAACAAGAUCAACUAAUAAUGGGUGUAAGCUCAUUUCUGUAACUAAUUUAUACUAAUAGCUUGAAAACUAGGAUCUAAUUUGCACCAUACAAAGCUCAAGCACCAUGGAAGAGAUAGAAAAGGAAAACUUAAAAUUACACACUAACCAACCAUUAAAACUUCAAAUAAAGGCUUGGAAUAAUAUUUUCUUACCUUCUACAAGCUCUCCACCCAAUGAUUUGAGACCAAAACCUCCUCCAUUACUAGAGCAAUUUUUGGGAGGAGCUUAAGUCCUCCCAAUCCUUUUUUCUUGAGUUAGAGUGAGUGACCCGAGAAGAAAGAAGAUGGUAGCUGCUACUUAUAUAGCCGUCAUUUGUAGAGGCGGCUGGUGAUGGAGCCGCUCCUGGCUUUCGGGCGCCAGCACAAGCCACCUCUACUGUCCCAAGUCCCUUGCACAUACAAAUCACUUUUCACAUAAUGUUAGUCCUCUUGUGCAGAGAAAAGCUUUAUGUAAAAGUCACUGGUCAUAUUUUCUAAAUCCUUUUGCUUAUAGCAUACAGAGCCACAAUUCAAACUUGUGAUCUUGUUUUCUCUAGCCCGAUAUAUAACAACAUCUAGCAUGGAAGAAAGCUGUUUCCUAUCUUCGAUCUGUUAACCAUUGUAUCCGCGAUCCUUGUUUCAGCAUUAUUUCCUCCCACACCAAUAAUUCUGAACUCAGGCAGAUCCAAACAAUGAUUAAGAAGGGUCCAUUCAACAAGACUUUUGUGAAGUGGAUUGUAGAAGCCAUGGCUGUGCUAUAGUUUGCUUCGAGUUUCUAAGAGGCCUUGUGGAGGAGUUUUUAUGUUACUUGAAGGGUGAAGAUAGGUCUGAGAUCCAGGACUAUGAGGUGGACACCACUGCGGACAGUAUUUUCGUCCAUCCAUGGUAGAUCUUCAGUAGUUUCUGCUAAGCACCGGGCAAAGAAACAUUUCUGUAAGUAGUUCUUCAGUAGUUUCUGUUGCUGUAGAUCUUCAGGCUCAGACAGAGCUUCUUGUUCUAUCUUAGAUGGUCAGCCUCAGGCCCGGGGGAUGCCCCUGAAUCUUCCUCUGAUUCUGUCUGAAACCUUCUAAACUCUGUUUCGGUUAAUGGAAACGGGACUUGUCUUGGGUGGACACACGCUAAGGCAGGCGGUAAACUUUAUCCUCACGUUAAUGUUUCGACACAUGUAUAAAGUAUUGAAUAUAGACUAUUUACGAAACUAGAAAUAUAGCUAGGGAAUAAUUUGCGAGACGAAUCUUUAAACCUAAUUAGUUCACAAUUAAACAUUAAUUGUCAGAUUAAUUGAAAAUUUUGCAGUACCUCUCAAACUUUAACACAUCCAACCAAACACCUCCUAAUACUCGAUUACAGCACAUGCACACACACGUAGCUGACUCCUCUAAACUUCGCCUCAUGUUGCUGGAGCAGUUGGUGCCUCGAUCGUGGGGGUGCCCAUGUUGCUUGCCCUGUCAUUUGCCUUCUUCCUUCCACUGUAUGUCAGCCCGGUCAUAACAAACUCAUUGCCGGGGUGACUACUUUUUGUAGUAUCUGCAAUUCUGCAUCAACACACUUCGCGCCCUGGUCAAAAGUGUUGCAAAGAAUACACAUGCGUUAGAAAAAAAAAAGCAUAUAACUUUUUUUACCUCUGAAGGUGCACGCGUGACUAUCUCGUUUUGCAUCCUUGGAAACGUGAUCUCCUGACAGUCAUCUUGAUAUCGUUUUGCAUCCUUGGAAAUGUUCUCCUGACGACAGUCAUCUUGAUCAGGAAUAAUCUGGUGACGGCGGCCAACUCGCGUGUUGAUCUCCACAUCGACAGGACGACGAUCUGACGCGUUUUUCUGAGAUAUGGGAAAAACAAUCUGGUGGUUGAUUAUUAGUACAAACAAUCUGAGAAAAACUACGUAUUUGUAGCCCAGGAAGUACCUCGAUUAAUUAAGUAGUACUCUGCCCGGACUCCAACCGGAGAAACCAAAGGAAUUUCUGACGUACGUAAUCACCUCGUCAGGCUCAGCUCUGGUAGUAUGUCUGGCAACAAAUAUUUGUCCAAAUUAUCAUUUAAGCUAGCCUACUUAUCUGGCUCAUAAUUCACAGGUUGACCUUACUGAAUAUGUCGAAAAAACUAGUUAAAAGACUACACAAUACAACCAUUUAACUAUCUGUAUAGUCUGAUUCAUUAACGGAGAACCAGCUGGGGAAAAAAGACAAUCAGAUUCCUAUGCGGAUUCAAUUCCGUGUCCGAUCGUCACGUUAUAUAUUGGAGUACAAAACUCACAACCGAACCAGCCCAAUUGCAAAACAGAUCAAUCUGUCACAAACAAACCGAUCCUUGAGAAGAACCAGAGAGCGCUCGAGCUGAGGUCGGCCAUGCAGUGCCUGGCGCGGGCAGUUGCACGGAGCGCACGCGCCGCAGGCGCAGCGGCGGCGGAGGGUUACGGCGGGCAGAGGUUUCUCUCCACUGGCCGCGCCGCCGCGAAGCGCUACAUCAAACGGAGGCCCGUCGUCAACGCUCGUGCCCUACGCGGCCGCCGUGUGAAUCCGGAUUCGGAAGAAGUCGUGGAGAGGAUACUGGGCGAGCUGCGGGCGACAAACGCCGAGCUUGCGAAGCAGCAGGAUGUGGGGCUCGGAGCCGAUUUAGCGAGACGGGUCUUUAUCCAUAUACUAGUUAAGUGCCCGUACGUUGCUACGGGUAUACAUAGAAUCUCAUGACAAAUAUAUAAAAUAUCAUCCAUUUAUUAACAAUUUAUUUGACAUAAAGCUAGAUAUUAACCAUAGAAGAAAAGAAACAUGUUAGAAAUAAUAACCAUGAUAUUUCAAAUUAAACAUAAAUUCAUAUAUAGUUAUUGAAAAUAUAUUAUAAUAUAAUAAGUACAUAUAGUCAGUUACACUUCAUCAUACAUAGUACUUGUCUCUCAUUUCUUCUUGACUUUCUCUAUUACCUGAAAUUUAGAUAGAUACAAAAAAGUAUUAGCAAUAGAGGAUACAACUGUAAGAAUAUAAGAGUUGUGCAAAACAGAAGACAAUACCUUUUCAUGGAGUGAGAACCUCUUUGUAGACAAUAUUUUUCGUGUAUGCACCAUUUGUUUUUGUCGUUUUUUUCUUAUCCUUCUUAUCACUGGGUGGGAUAACAAGGAUUCUAUUGUUCGAUCUGGCAGUGGCUCUAGAUAGCGCAACAUACAGCUGACCAUGAGAGAACACUGGUUCAGGCAAAUACACACCAACAUUGAGGAGAGUCUGCCCCUGUGCCUUAUUAAUUGUCAUGGCAAAACUGAGUCUAAUAGGAAACUGCUUCCUCUUGAACUGGAACGGGAACAUCUCGUCAUCCGAGGGGCAUAACGGAAUUCGUGGUAGAAAGAUUCGCUUUCCGGCAUGGUCUCCAACCAUAAUUUCUGCAUCGAUAAUAUUUCUUUGGAACCCUCGAACCACCAGCCUCGUUCCAUUGCAAAGUCCACCCGCAGGGUCGAUGUUCCUUAGCAAUAUGACAGGGCACCCUAUCUUGAGCUUUAACACAUGUGGAGGAAGACCGUUGGGGGUCAAAGUGUUGAGAAACUCAGAUGGGCAGUAGUUAUGUGGAUCAUCCACCGCACUAUCAAAGCUAUGAUACACCAUCUCAUUCCCUUGGAAACGACUUAUCAUCUUCAUGUUAAUCAUAUCAACCCAGUCGUUCCGUGGAGACAAUAUUGCUCGUGAGGUGAUGUAGCUCUUGUUUGACAUAUUGGCAUUGAGGGCAGGGAAUAUGCAGUCAAUUAACGUAUCAAGAUCACUGUCUUCCCGGGUAUGUGGUAUGCAUAUUUCAUCAGGAAGACGGAUUUCACCAUCACCAUUAGCCUCCUCUAAGCCUCCCCCGAUGCGUAGCAAGUAUUCUGCAAACCAUGGGUCACUCUUUGCCCUCAUGUUGUGCACCAGUUUGAGAUGUCGCAUGGAAUUCCAAAGGUACGACAUCCGUAGUGAUGCACCAACUAACAGCUGGUCACCUCUUGAAUUGUCCUAUAAAAAUUUGGCAACAACAAGCGACUUGAAAGCACAUGGAAGUUUAACCAAAGAUCAACAUGCUGUCAAAAACCUCUAGAAUUCUUAGAUCAACCAUUUUCAUGAUGAUAAAGGCAAUGAGAUCUAGAUUGGUAACACAGAUAAACCAAAGGUCAAGCAUUAAGUACUACUGACCAGCCCAACCCUAACACAUGCAUCGAAUCUUGGCUUUCUUCAUCCCUACAGUUCACAACUCAACCUCACUUAGCAUGGCCACUGUAGCAUUAGCAUGGAGGCCGCAUGAUCAUUUAUGUACUAUGUCAUCAUUUUGUAUUAUUUACAUAUUUUCUUCUUGUUGUAUAUUGUUGAGCGAGCUAUAUGGUUGUUGCCUCUUAAGCCCCCACGUAGUCUGCUCAUAUUAACUAUUGUCUUUUUAUUUAUUGCAACAUAUUUGGCUUACACCAGAAAGCUGGAUCUAAAAUACUCAAUCAAGCAUCAGCAAAAACCAAAGCCUAUCCAUAAAGUCAUUAUUACUUUAUUUUUUAAAACAUGUGUGAGCAAAUCCUAAGGUGCCUGUGAGCAAAACUGGCACCAUCACUUGGUAGCAGCAAUUCAGAAUAGGUGAACUCUGAAUAUCCAAGUUCUAUAUUGACCAUAAGUCUUGUUAGUUAGAUGAUAGAACCAAUUUAUAGUUCUAAAAGAAGUAGGAAAUACACAGUGAUAACAUUUUUGUAAAAAAAGAAACAGGGUUCAUCAGUGAAGUAAAAACUCCACUGAAAUUAGUUCAGUGAGCUGGAGAGCAGUGCAAGUUCCUAGCUAGAAACUGAAAUAAAAAAUUAACUUAGCUUUCUAAAUAACUUAGCUUUCUAUUCAGGAUAACCGGAUCAGAGCUAGCACAUACACAAAAUCAAGAAUUUCAGAAAUAAAUCUAGCCGAGAGAUGCUUAAAAAAGAUCCAUAAGACAACAAUUAAAGGAAUUAGCAAGGAAAUCAGAAAAGUGCUCACAUAGGCCUAGCUAGCAGAUCAGCACACUGCUCUCUUGGACAUUUUGCUAUCUUCUUCUUAGCAUCCGCACACCAUGCCUUCUUCCAGGGAUCAGACACGACGACCACGCGUAACUAAUUCAAGAACUACAGAAUUGAAACCAUUUACAUAAUAUCAGGAUACCUAAUUACCUGUACAACAGAUGUAUCUAAUUCAUUCUCCAAGAUUCAAAUUCAUUUGAAAAAGGUCUCGAAUGACACCGGCUGGCUUAGUACCUCUGCUUAGCUUCAGGGUCAAUAGUACAAAUUUCACAGCAUUUCCCUAAACUAUUUGUUCAGGAACAUGAAUGAAUCCAUUGAGAUAAACACAGGAACCAUCUUGUUGUAGACAUAAUUCCCAAACAAAGGCACAUGAAUCAAAUUUACCAUGUAUGUAGACAUGAUUCAGACAGACAAACAAGCACUCACCAUCUCAUACAAGACACAGCAGGAUGAUCUUAUUAUAUAGCAUGGACUUAAUUCAGCACUAACAUAUACAAAUUAAAUAACUAACAUAUACAAAUUAAAAUAAUGUUAGAUAACUUGCUGCUAGGCCUGAAAGCAACACACACAAAUUUCCAUUCACUGGUUUAGUACAAAUUGUUCUUUGUUUAUUCACUAAAAAACAACAUUAUCUUUUUGUAGAGUGCAUAUUGCAUUGACUAUCCCUUUUUGCUCCUUCAAGCUGAGAACUUGUUCAAUAACUAUUGUUGUGUGCAUAAUUCUGAACACAAAUCAUCAACAAAAACCAAAUUAAAUUGCACAAAUCUCUACAACUGAAAUCCCUAUAGUUAGCUAUGAUAGUAAGAACACAACACUGCAGUCCAAAAUAUUUUUUUUCUCUAAAGUAAUUGUAUGCGAACAACAAAGUCAUAGUCGAUUUCAGAGUAGUUCACAGGUAGAUCAUACAUAAAAUCUCACAAACCCAUUUACAAUUCAGUUGAUGUAAAGCUAAAAAUUAACCACAAAAGAACAGAGGCAUGAUAGAAAUAAUUCAGUUUUAUUUGAUCCAUCAAUGCUACUUUAGGAAGAUUAGAAGAUGAUAUCUACAAGAUAUGUGAACAACUAAAAUCCCAUUAAAACAAACCAUAUGUUAGCAAUAAAAAUUUACCAUGAGAGCUGAAAACCUUGCUACAUGCCAUCACCAAAAUAUCUAAUUUUUGAGCAAAAUUGAACACAUAAAGGUAAGGAUUCCGAACAGCAUAGUUGAACUAUACUGAGCUAUAAAUAUUUAUAUAGUAGAACCUCUGAAUUUUUAGUAUUAUUUACUUAUAGAAGAAGCAUGGGUUACCAUAAGUUUACCACAAUGAAUAGUUGUCUAUUAAUAAAAGUUUUGAGAUUUCUGAGUGUGGUUGACAAAGAUCUAAAUUUUCAUUAGCCCACAUCUUCACAGUACCAUCAUGGGAUGUAGUAAGGACAGUUCUCCUGAGAGCAUCCGAACAUAACUAACCUAUACCGAUAUUGAAUAAAACAUGUUUUGUAAUUACUGAGGAUAGACAAUGAAGACAUUAAAAUAAAUCUACAGCUAAAUGUAAGACCCUCACCAGUUAUUCCAAAAGGUUAAAACUUGAAGGUUUUGCAUAUCGCAGGUUUUAUUUUGUCUAUUACAUCGUGCAGGUUCUAAGAUACACACCAAAUUCCAUUUUUUCUCCUUUAGCAAAUAAAGUCAAGUAGUCUGAAAUAUAUUAGACAUUACUUUAUUUAGUAAUUUGGCUGUUAACAUCUGUAAGUAUCAUUUUGUUCAGCAGAAUUAGUUUUACAAUCCAUGUAAAAUGAGGCAUGAGAAAUUUAAUGGGGGUUUGUUCAUUCCUGACCAGAGGACCAAUUUUUAUUUUAUAUCUGAACUUUACAUGAAUGUUGUUGGGUAAUGCGUAAUUGCAAUCUGAAUUCACAGUAUGAUAAUGACAUUCAGAGGAAAGCAGAUCAAAUCACACAGGGCUAGGUAUAUUCAGAGGAAAGCAGAUCAAAUCACACACGGCUAAACAUUCAGACGACUACUAAUCUGCGAAACUGAAAGGGAUCAAAGGAAGAAAAAUGAAGAAACAAGGGGCACCUUCUCGUUGGACAAGAGGGUGAGCGCACGGAUCGCCUCCUCCGCUGGGAUGCUGUGCUGCCCUCGCUGCUGGGACGCCCGUCCGACGGCGGCAACGGCUUGGCAAGGUCGCGGUCGAGGGCCCAACUGAUGGCAGCAGCGACUUUGGCGAGGUCACAGUCGCAGGCGCAGGGGUCUUGCGUCGCGUCGCGUCGUCUCCGGCAAUGGCACGGCGACGACGUCUUGGUGAGGUCGUCCGACGGCGGUUGCUUGGAGCAAAACGAGUUGGGAGCUGGGCGUCGUGCCGCAGGUGUCGUGGUUCUCUGGACCGAGGCGGAGGGUCGCGAGGCUAUACGGUUCCUUUUAUUUUCCUAUCGGAGGAGGGGCAGGCAUUAGUACUGCGGUUAAUUAUCGGAGGGCGGGGCGAUUAAGGGGCGCUGACGAUGACAUCUGAACCUUUUUAGUUGUAGAGAUGUGUCCAAUCCUUGUUUUUCAUCUUUAAUCCAAGUAAUGGUAGUAUUAAGAAGUAGGACAGAUUGUGUAUGUGAUUCUUCGUGAUAUGACAAGUAGUUUUCUUGUGAACUAGGUGACUUAUUUCUUGUUUUCCUUUUUUUAUUAUAUAUAAGAAAUUAUAUAUGCUACAAGGGAUUGUUGAUCAGCUUUGUAAUAGCGUUGCUAUUCGGAUAUCACGACCUAAUUGUUCAGUACAAAGCGCAGGCCCUUGCGCCCGUGUGUAGCUAACUGUAUUUGCAUGACAUAGUUUGGGUCAAUCAGAGUUAGCAGCGUAUAUAAUCUUUACACGAGCAAGUAUAUAUUAUUUAUAGAGUAAAAUGCAUAAAUAGUCCAUUGUCCAUUUAGUCCAUCAGCUUUGAAAGUGUAUUUUUUAUUUCAAAACCUUAAUUAGCUAUGCAUAAAGAGUUUAUACAUCUUCAUUUUAUGUUUAUCUAUUUUUAAUAUAUAAUUAUGAAAAUUUUAGUCUGCCAAAACAUUCUUUAUGUCCGCCAAUGUGCGUCCUUCCAGAAUCGUAAUCGACCCGGGGCUUCAUGUCUUCAGCGUACGCUGGUGGAGAGAAAAAAAAAUAGAAACUUUUAUAGGAUUCCCAAUACAUAAAGUACAGGAACGUAGGUGUAAAGUGUUUGUCCUAUUAGUUCAUUUUUCUUUUAUUCUUUAAACGGGCUAAAAAUUGAUAAAUGCAAAGUAAUUCAUAGAAAAAUCUUAAAAUUACAAAAUAAAUUUUGUUCAGCUCCACAUAUAUAGAUUCAUGCAGUAAACAAAAAAUAUAACAAAUUUUAGUACAUUUUUUUGCUGGAGAUGUGUGCCUAUGCUUUUUAGUGUAAAAUUGGUCGGCUAAAAAUUGAUAAAUGCAUAAUAAUUCAUAGAAAAAUCAAAAAAUUACAAAAUAAAUUUUGUUCAGCUCCACAUAUGUAGAUCCAUGCAGUAAACAAAAAAUAUCACAAAUUUUAGUAUAUUUUUUUUGCUGAAGAUGCUUUCAUAUGCUUUUUAAUUAGUGUAAAAUUGAAAUUGUAGUUAUCUUGCUCCAAUUAUUAUGAAAAUUUUAUGGUAGCCUAUUUAAUAUGAUGUUUGAUUUAUGGUAAAAGUUUUAGCACCAUUUCUAUAUAUCACUGAUUUACUAAUAUACCAAAAUUUAUGCUUGAGGAUGCUUCUACUACCUUUGCACGAUGUGUUGUUAUGUCAUAUGAACACUUCAUAAGCCCAUGUGUUCAUAAUACAUUUAACUCAUAUGUCAUAUUUCAUAGAAAUCCUAAUCUAAAUAAAAAAAUAAAGCUAGCAACAAACUUAUCAUGUUUUAAUAUAAUACUAUUUGGAACUGAGUAUCAGCGCAUGUGUAAUAGAGAGCAUUCAUCUAUCUCAUCAAUACAGGGAUAAAUGUCACAUAAAAUAUAGAUAAAUUAUGAAUGGUGACAAAGAUAACUAAUCUGAUUAGCAUAACUAGCCACAUAUGAUAAUGAUAAGCACCUCAACAGAUAUUCUAGCAAGUCAUUAGCAUGGGAUUAGGAUGAACUAUAAAAAUAUUUCCUAAGUUAUUCUUAACUAUAAAGUCUAGCAUAUCAUAAUUAGUGCAAUUAUACUUGGCAAUCAUUGCGAGACAGGAUUACGCCCAUGCAUAGUGAUAUUAUCAAGAAAGAUGAGAAACAUAGCAAUCACUCCUCUGAAAUAAUGUUGCUCUGCCUACCCUAUACAUGGGAGGGGGACUAUAUAAGAAUCAACGGAGCUGUCACCACCGCAAACUACCCCGCGAUCCGGCAUAUAGGGUACAAUCGCAGAUAAAUACGGUAUAGGCACCACUCCUACACAAUACUUAUCAUUUACCCAUGGACCCGAUGGAUAAAUGCUAUAUGAUCCUAAACAUGUAUAUAAUUUCAAUCUAACUAAGCCAAGUAUAAAACCAUGAUAAACUAAGAACGAUAUAAUUGCAAAUAUAAACAAGUAGAGCAAAGUCAUAAUCAAUAUAUUGAAAUAGAACAAAGUCAUAUUCAUAAUAUUGAAGAACAAUGAUGAACAAAUGAAGAACAGUUAGAGGAAUUACCAAGAAUCCUCUUGACAGAUCCGGAAACCAAUCGAAGAUUGACUUCUUCUAGUUCUAAUCCUAUGUAGCUAUGCUAAACUAGAGAUCUAGUUGAUGUGGUGGCUCUAGGGCUUGAUCAGAGACUCUCCUCCUUGGAUGAAUGAAUGAAUUAGGGUUUGAGAAUGAGAAUGCCUCCUCCAGAGGCCAGGGGGCCUGCUUAUAUAGCCCUUCCAAAUGAACAUGGGUCGUCGGAUCAAACCGACCUUAAUCGCACGGUUUUCCUUAAUCCUUUAGGUCGGUGGAGCAUAAUCCGCGAGGCGGGCGCUGAUUGGCCGCCAGGGCAGGGCGGGCGCCCUAGGGGGGAGGGCGGGCACCCUGCCCCCGGGACCGCUCGGCCUCUCGUUCGUUCCCGUGGCUUCUGGAGUCACCUAGAUGAUAGAAAAUUGCCGCGCACGUUAAUAUCUCUAUGUAAAGCCGACGUGUGGGCCUUUCCUUCAUAUUUCCUGAUAACCCCCUACAGAAAUAGACAAACACCAAAACUCAUGGAAUUCUGUCAGAUAAAACCCUAAGUCUGGGUGUUGGUUGCAUUUGGAUCCUUUUAUUUUUUUAUUUGAUGAUUAAGUUUGGUACUUAAGGACCGUCAACACUUAGGAGGUGUUGGGAGUGCAGGCCCAAAAACCUCUCUUAUAUAAAGCGAGUGUAACUCUGCCUUAAUUGUGGCUUCCCACCAAUUUGAGUGCUUCUGGCACUUUGUCAUGGACUUUGGUUUGGAUCCAGAUCCAUUGAGCCAACAUUUUUUGAGGCAAAAUAUAUGUCUACAAUAGUGGUCUUUCUAUAAUAUGACUCUCCUGAUUCCACAUAAUUAGUGGUGAUCUCCUCAUGAUCAUCUUCCCACUCAUCGUGAUUUCCCAUAACGAUUGAGUUGGGGCGUUCCGAUCUUCCAAUGCGGUAAUGCGUGUAAUGCAUUGAGAUUUCAUCUUCUGGAUGGUGUCCUUCAAGGACCUCCACAACUUUAGGUUGACUUGCCACUUCAAGGGCAUUCUCGACUUCAAGUCGAGCUUUUUCAAAUGAUUCCUUAAAUGAUGCGAGUGGCUCAAGACCUUGUUUACGCAGACGUCUUCGUGGAACCUUGUCUGAGCACCUAGAGGUCUCCCCCUCAACCUAGGAUCAGGUGGAGACAAUAGAGUCAGUAGCCUUCAGGGAUACCCAAACUCUCUCUGGUGCAUUUACUAUAGGUAAAUGCGACCUUGUCAUUUGUCUAAUCAGUGAAGGCAUUUGGCAGCUCAUUUGCACUAAUUUGCAAAUGCACAAUUCUCUGAACUUCUAGUCUAGAUUGACUAGUGUGUGGGUUGAAGGAAUACCUUCAUUCCUUUUCAUGCAAUUUCCUGGCAUUCUUCCGGAUGCCUAACUCCCCCUAAUGCUGGGAAAUGCAAUCAGCGUGCCGAGCCUCAUGAAGAUCCCCAGUCAUAGGCUCAUACAUCCCAACUUCUUGUGGGAUUUCUUUGGUGUACGCUGAUAUGGCGAUACUAGCACAUAUAUCACACAACUUAAUAUAGGCAGAUGGGAAAUACUUUCUUUCUCACACAAUAGCCAUAUGGGGGAUGUGCAGUUGACUUGAGUUGGAUACAUCUUGCAGUAUGCAAUGCUGCAUGGCUCCAACUGUUGGUUGGUAGCCUCCGAUUUUGCAGCAAAGGUCAUGCAAUUCACAUAAUCCACUUGAUCCUUUUGAUCAAGGAUUCAACUAGGCCAUUUUUGUGCCUCAUCACUAAUCUUCAGGAGGGAUGGCCUAGUGAUCAACCUUCCCUUUCCACAUGCAAUGCAAAUAAAAUCUUCAGGAUUAGGGAAGUCUUUAUGGUCAACAGAAUUGAUGAUUUUCUCAUCAUAUCUAACCCAGGAUGAUCCAAUUGGUCAUGCCAUAUUUUUAUUCUUCUAAAAUAAUAUGGCUUUCAUCGCAACAUAUCUCUUAGUGGGAUUAUGUACAUGCAGUAUGAGCCCGAUGAAGGGAAUACAUCCACCACAUACUUUGAAUACUUAUGGGAGAACUAGUGCGGCACUUCUGGUGCCCUUGAUAUGAGCAUUGCUUCAGAUAAUGGUCAUAAUAUUUCCAUUUUCCAAGUUAAUGUUUGGAAAUAUCAAGUUUCCCUUAACAUUAUAUUGGUGGUGUCACUGUCUAUAGGAUAGGUUUCCGCUUCAAUCAUAUGGGCUCCCACGAGGUGUGAGACUUUAGGGAUUUGACAUAUGUUCAAAAGUCAGAAACCAACAUUCAAAACUUAUUGAAAAUGCUCUACAGGAGCAUGCAUGGCCACCACUCAACACACUAUAAAUGCUCUUCAGGAGCAUGAAUGGCCAAACUCAAUUGGUGUACGUGGACAUUGCAUUACGACUAACAUGAUAUCUCAGGGAUUAGCAGGUCCCUAGAUAUAUCAAAGAAAUCAGGAGAAGGUCAUCCCCACUCACAUCCACUUGGAUGUCUUCACCAUCUCUUUACACGGUGACAAAUGUGUCUUCCGCAAUUCUGAGCUUCAUGCUCAGUGGUGAGGUAGGAUUUAUUUUUACUCUCCUUAUUCUUGCUUCUGGAAGAACUUUGGUAGAGGUCAACUAGGUGUUUUGGGCAUGACAAUUGUGGGACCAAUGUCUCAUGCCUCCACAUCUAGGACAGUGCUUCCGCUGCCUAGAUAUUUAACCUCUGACCUUCUCGGAUCCCCCUUUUCCCCCUGGGAUGACACCUCUUUUCCUUCCAUUUUCCCUUUCCACGGCCGUCUUUGUGGUUGCUAGAAUUCCCAGCAAAGCUAAGAGCAUCUCCAACAGUUUGACAUUUUUUCUUUUGGAGUUUGCCAACUCUAAAAAGCAAAUGGGAAGGAGAAAAACAAGACAUCUCCAAGAGUUUUACAAAUCUGACUUGCCAUUUACCAAAAUGUGGUCCCAACUGCCGAAAGUUUUCAGCACGCGCGCAGUCUCGGUCCGUUCGCGGACUUUCUUUGCGCGUUCAGGAAGUCCGCCGCCACUCACGUUGAGGAGGUCCACCGCCAGAUGCUUCGUCCCGUGGCUUGGUAGCUACUCCCUAGAGAUCGGCAAGUCCACGGUCGGUCGCUGGAAGAAGUGGCUGGAGAUCGGCAAGCAGUGCAAGUUCUCCUAGAGAUCAGCAAAUAGUCCACGAUCGCUGAUCCAUCUUGUUGCUAUCAUGAUUGGUGUUUUCCGAUCGCGCGUGGGAGUCACGGUCGUGUGCGGGCGGCAGAUCGGUGUUUGCCAAGUCACGGACGGACUUGCAUAAAUGCAAAGCCUCCCCUGGAAUUUGUCAAGUUUCCAAAAAUACAAAACCAAUAUGCAAAACUAUUGGUGAGGUGUUUUGUGAAUUUUGGCAAAAAUCAAGAAUGCAAAAGCAAUAUGCAAAACUGUUGGAGAUGCUCUAACACGUGCCUCGGGCACAGUUGCCAUGUAGAAUGAUCGUUCGUGAGAACCUCAUUCUAUUCCUUUUGCAACCAAUAGUGUCAUUAUCAGCCCAUAGUACUUCGGGUACUUGUGUAUUGCUGAUGUAGUACUACGUUGCCGGGAUGGAGGGUAGAAAGAGUUUUCUCGAUCAUAUCCGCGUUGGUGAACUUCUGGCCACAUAAACGCAGUCUAGGCACAUUCCUGUAUAAAGUAGAGCCGUACGCUGCUACAGAUGUACAGUCUUUCAAAUGUAAUGUGAUCCAGUUAUAAUCGACUCUUGCUGGUUGAAGCGGCCCUUCAGGGACUGCUAUGAAACCAUUGGAUUGUCCUUAUUUAUAUAUUCAGACUUCAGGCCUGAGUGUAAACGGUAUUGCAAAAAGUGCAAUGUCUCUGCUUUAUCAAGUUUUUGUGCUCAUCAUUGUUAGCUUCAGGCUAAACAAUGGUAUGAUCGAGGCACCUACCGUCGAGUUUAAUCUCAACGACAAUAUCCCAAAUGAGGUAACUACUGCCAUUCACGGCUAGCUUAGCGAAUCCCUAUUUUCACAAUGUCCGACCAAUAAUCAGUGAAUGUUGGCUACGCGUAAUCUUUAGGAUUACAGUCAUGUGUAAUCUCCAAGAUCACACAUUCUUAUAUAGUCUUCAGGACUAUAUUCCCUAAAUAUCUCAUGCAUAUAAUCUUCAGGAUUAUAUGCGGUUCUCAUAAAUACAAGCUUGCAUAAAUAUACGGAAAUUAAAUAAUUGUAGAAAAGUAAAUUACAGUAAAUAAAUAUAACUUGCAGUAAUGUAAAAACUUACAAUAAAAAUAAAAAGUCAUGCCAUGUAAGGACUUCAGGUCUUAACAAUUGUACGGGCUUCUGGCCACGUAGUGGUAUGACAUGGUGAACUGCAGGUUCACUAUUUAUUGUUUUUGGUCUCCAGAUCAUAUGUGUGUGCCUUUUUGGCAGUGUUAAUGGACCGAAUGUUUUGUGAGCAUAAGGCUUCAGGUCUUUGUCUAGCGGCUUCAGGCCGUCUAGAUAUGUGGUCUACUGCACAUAAAUAAAAAUGCCCUUGAUUGUAAUCGUCAAGAUUACAAUUUGGUGUAAUCUUCAGGAUUACACUUUCAUUUUUCACAUGUAAUCUUCUGGAUUACUUUCUGACUAAGACUGAAAUGAAGUAAGUAGAUACAUAGAAUUUGCAGUAAGUAAUUGUGGUAAAUAACAUUAAUAACAAAAGAAAUACGGUGAACUUCGGGCCACACGUGUUGCACGGACUUCGGGCCAUCCAUCAUGCAAAAUGACUUCAGGUCACUCGCAUGUUCACAUAGCUACGUGCUGGCUUGGUUUAAGUGGGGCUUGCGUAACUGAAGGCAAGCAUUCAUCAGCCACCAGCCGGAGCAGCGAGCUAUAUAGAUUUCCAAACGGGCCGCCCAGCAAGGCAUGGGCACGAGCACGGCGAGGCACGACACGAUGUGGCACGGCGGCCCACCAUGCCGUGCUAGGUAGUGUCGCUGUGCCCAACCAUCAGCCCAGUCAUGGCCCUAUGGGGACUCAGCCGUGCUGGGCCCAAGGGCACGUCGGUCCACCGUGCCACCCUGUGCCACAUCAAAGUUGCACCACGCGUCGUUGAGGAGCUAAGCUGCUCGUCGUGCCGUCGUCGUCGCCGUCAUCAUUGUCGCAGCAGACUGAGGCGCGCACCCGCACUGCCUCCACAGAGCGCACGUCACACAAGGCCUGGCCAGUGGCCACCUACCGCCUCCGCUGCGAGCUCCUGCGCAUGGUGACGCGCCACACCGCCGUGCCGUUGGCCUUGCCGCUGCCGCCGUCAUGGGGACACGCGCACCCCUAGCUUUGCAAGCGCAACUUGGCCGUGGGAGAGAGUGGAGUGGGGUAGAGGAAGGAGUGGUGAGCGGCGGCGCAUGCAGUGGCCAAGGAAGGAGUGGUGAGCGGCGGCGCAUGCAGUGGCCCAGGAAGGAGCGGCACAUGCGGCGGCCUGGUGCUUGCGGUGUGAGAAAAUGAGAAGUAGGGAAGAUAAGUUAGGGUUUUCUGUGGGGAGAUGCUUAUAUAUUGAUAUCCAACGGUUGUGGUUCAUCAUUGCUCAUCCAACGGUGGAGAUUAGCGGGCCGCAUCGUGCCAACCCUUUUUCCGUGUCGUGCCGCGUGCCGGCCCAUGGGCCGAAUGCCAGGCCCAGGCACGGGCACAGGGGCGGGCCGUGCCAGGCACGGGCACGGGGUAUGCGUGCCUGGCCCUGCCUGGGCCGUGCUUUUCCGGGCCGUGCCCGUUUCGGCCCAGCGGGCCUAGCCCAUUUGGAAAACUAUAGCGAGCUAGAAAUGUCAAAAUAGCAGAAGGGUCUGCAGGACACAUGCAUACUGAAAAAGGAGCGGCAGCCAGACUGAACUCCCCUACUCUUCAGGAGAUAAAAUUUUUCCCUACCCCUCCCUUCUCUCUCUUCAUCCUUAUCUUCUUCUUCAGGAAGAACUCAAAGGGAGGAGUAGGUGGACAUGGGAGGGGCAUGGCAGCCGGCCAGCAGCCUAGCCUGGCACGCGGCGGUGCUCGCGGCCUGCGUGGCCCGCCCGCGGCCGGCCUUGGCGUGCGGCGGUAGCAGCCUCGCGGCCUUCCUGCGGCCGACCGUGGCUCGCGGGUAGGCGCGCUCACGGCAGGGGUGUGUCCAUGGCCCGGCGCGCCCUGCUCUGGCUCCUGCGCUCCCUCUCUCCCCUCGGUGGCUCGGUGCGGCCCGCGGCUAGCCGGCGGUAGGCUUGGCGCGGAUCCCCAGCGGCACGGUGGCCCUCUAGCGAGGAGCUCUGGCGGGUGGCACGCGGCUCCGGCGGCCUAGGCGCACGGAGACGGCCGGGUAGGCCGGGGAUGCGCGGCCCUGCGCGCACAUGGCAUGGAUCGGCGCGGCCCGCCUGUGGUUCCUGUGGGGGCGUGGUCCCUGGCCAUGGCACGCGACCGCGCACGCGUCCUGUCGUGCGACGCGUUCCGCCGCGGUUACAGCAUUCAUGCCCCUGCAGGGGGCAGUUUGCUGGGUUCGCACGCAUGUCUUCGGGACGGAGGUGGUUCGGCCUGCUCAUCUUCAGGAUGGCGGCGAAUCGAUCUUUGUGCUCAUGUAUGUGUUUGUCCAUGAACAAGAGUGAGCACGAGAUAAAACGAUUUCCUACCUUCUUACCUUUUAGCUCAUAGAACUCGUGCUAAUAACGUAUUAGAAAUCGAGUCACUGGAUUGCUCACAAUCAUACUCACAACAUAGGAAUAAACACACAGAAAGAGAUGGAGGAAGAGGGAGCUCUGUAUUUCACUUUCUUUCAGUUCUUGUUGCUCAUAUUACAAUAGUGAAAGGAGCCUCCUAUUUAUAGCAGAGGAAGCUGAACUUUGCUAGUGUGAAAGCUAAGACUUUUUCCUCCUCUUCAUUUAAUUGGCCACCACUCAAAGUCCCUUGUACACAUUGCUUUUGGACUUUGAUUCACAAUAGGUAUUAUGUCCAUAUAAAUAAGCACUGCUCCUAUUGUGGGGCUGUUGAGACGGACCAACAUCUGUUUUUUAAAUGCAAUUUACCUACUGACAUCUGGUCUGCGGCAAACUCUCCCCUCAUUACUAGUAACAUCCCUGUAGAAGAAGAUGGAGUCCAAGUGUCCAUACCUCUUCUUAUUACCCCCAAUCCAAUAGAUGAAACUUUAUGUAAAACUCUUUUCUUCUCUCGUACAUUUGAAAUGCUCACAACGAUAAUAGGUUCUAGAAGAGAAUCUGGACUUCUCUCCAGAUUCAACAGGCUGCAAAUGCUCACAUGAACACACACCUUGCUGCACUAAGAGAGCAAGAAGAAAAUCAGUCAGGUACAAUUCUCCUUUCUGCAUGUACUGCUCAACUUCCCCAACAGCUGAUUGCUCCAAGAAGGACAGCAACACACACAUCUUCACCGACUCUGCCAACUAAUGUUGUCCCUAGUGCCACAAACUACACCCAAGGUACAAAUGUUGCAUAUGUAGGGACUAAUGAAGUCCCAACUCAGGGAAACAACUACUUGACAACCAUGCUGGACAGGCUGAACCGUUUCCUAACUUAAUUUAAGGGACGCGAUGUUACACAGAUGCCUCAACACAGCCAGACCAAGUUUUCUCUCUUCCCAGAGAAGCUGGGAUUGGAGUUUUCAUCAUCAAUACACAAGUGUCACCCCCAUUAAGUAUUUUCAUCAAGGCAGCAAUGCAAGAUUCCACAUCAGUCCUGAUGGCGGAAUCAGCCUCUAUGGCGGUAGCAACAGUGCUGCUGCAAAAAUUGGAACUUCAGGAUGCAACCUUGUUGUCUGCAAAUGAUCAGUUCUCUCUUGACAGGCACAAGCUCUUCCAUUCGCAAGAUUAGACGAUCUCAGAAUCAAAUGGCAGACUUGUUGGUUAGACAUGCUCUAACUGUUUUCCAUUCCAAUCAUAACAGUAGUGUCCAGUUCAUAUGGCACUCCAAUCUGUAACCAUAAACUAUUAAUCAAUGAAUGAGGUUCCUUGUCAAAAAAAAGUGUAGAGGAGCCGUUUCAACGGGCACGUGGGCAGGUGCCACUGGCUCUGGUAGUGGAAGGCCAUAAGCUUAAACUAUUUUAGCUACUCUUGAGUAAUUAGUGGGACUAAAUUAUUUUAGCUUCAUUUUAAGCAGUGUGUUUGAAAGUUUAGUUACUAAAGUGACUAAAGUAUAGUUUACUCAACUAAUUGGUAGUUACUAAGUACUUUUCCAACCAUUGUAAAACACCUCAUAUAAUAUACUUUCUCCGACCUGAAAACUUUAACUUCUAGAGUUGUCCUAAGUCAUACUUUAAAACUUUGAUUGAAUUUUAAAAGAAAAACAUUAAAAUUUAUAGUACCAAAUUAAUACCAUUAGAUUUAUCAUAGAAUAUAUUUUUGUAAGAUACACAUUUUAUGUUAUAAAUAUUGAUGUUCUUUUCUAUAACGUUGGUCAAAUAUAAAAAAGUUUGUCUGAUACAAAUUUUUGAAGUUGAAGCUUUGGGAGACUGAGGGACUCCCUCGUUUUUCAAACCUUCAACUUCUAAAAUUUGUGUUAGUUAUUUUUUUUUAUGUUUGAUCAAUUCUAUAGAAAAGAGCAUGAGAAAGUAUCGUGUGCCUUUGUGCAGCUCGCCGUUGCCGUUGAUCACCAGCGCGAUACUUUAUUAAUUAGUCUGCAUUGCUGUCAUUUUCCUAUGUUCCAAACCAUGUGAAGCUUCAGGCCGGGCAGCGGAUUAAACAAGGAAAACCAGCUAGUUCCAACUGUGUAUGAUAGCCGGCCGAGAACCGAGAGGAACGCCAAAGCAUCUUGCAAGCACUAGAAGCCAAUGGAGUACAUAUCAAAUAAAUUCCGAUCUUUCUGAACCAAAUUUCCAUUUGCGUGUACUCAAUUACUCAUUAUGGCUAACCAGUGUUGUUCAUGUAAACAUGGCCUCAUCUUCUUCCUCAUCGCCUUGUUUCCGCAACGCCUUGCUGCCAGCGUAGCCGUAGCAUCAGCAGCGGGAUGGCAACCCAUGCAAUGCGACGCUGUAUCCAUGAACCCACCUUCAUGCAGCAGCGCGUUCCUUUACGCCACUUCAGAAGGCCGUAACCUGUCUGAAAUAGCCGCCGUCUUCAACUCGACGACAACUCUCCUGAUCCGGCCGAUCAAGCGGCCCUCCGGUGCGGUGGACGUGCUGGUGGCUGUGCCCUGCACGUGUGAGGUGAUCAACGCCACCAUGGGUGCUCUCUUCCACGACGCUCCAUAUGUGGUGAAGCCGGGAGAUACACCUGAUGCUGUCAGUAGUGGGAUCUUCAGUGGGCUCGCAACUAACUUUGGCGAUGACCUGAUUUCAGGUAACACAAUAACGGUUCACCUGCCUUGUGGGUGUUCCUCCGCCGCAUCCAAGGGUGUGGUGUCCUAUGCAGUGCAGGAGGAGGAUACCCUGCCUAAGAUUGCAAGCUUGUUCAGAUCAACUUCCCAAGAUAUCUUAAACUUGAACCCGAGCUUGACGAAUCCCGACUUUGUUAAACCAGGCUGGAUCUUGUUUGUCCCAAUUGGAGUUGAUGAUUCCUCGUGAUGAGCCACUGGUUACCGGCCAACUAAGUGUUUUCAUAUUUCUAGUGUCUAGUAAAUUAAUGAAUAAAAACUCAAGUCAUAGAAUAUGAGAACAGGUAUACUGUUAUGGUUUUGCAUUCUACAAAAUUUGUUAGAACUAGUAGCUUUUUUUGGUAUCGAAGUCAGUGUUGUCAAAUUUUAAAUUAUGUUUUUUACUGGUGUACUGCAUCUUAAGUUGUUUUGUGCAAUUUUAAAUAUCAGGAGGAUUCCCUGCGCGUUACUGUGGGUAUGAAGAAGAAAUAUAAAUAUAUCAUCACUGUAGUCUAUCGAGUCAUCUAUAUAUAACUUGAUUAUACAUUAGUUUUCGAAAAGAAAGAGAGGAAGUCAUGUGAGAAUAAUGCUAGCAAUAUGCGUGAUUAGUAAUAUGUAGGUAACUGCAUCGUCCACUACUAAAAUCAUUUAUGAGUGAACACUUGCAUGCAGCAGCAGGAGAAGUUGAUGAUGACGUGGCUCAAGGAGGUGUGAGAGAAUUAGGCAAGUAUGUUCGUUUGGAGAUAAGUCAGGGUAGAAAUUACUAUUGGCUGAUUUGUUAUCAGAGAAAAAUAUUGUUGAAUGGUUGGUAGAUUCGGCUGAUAAUCAUAAGCGAAUGCAGAGUUUUCAGAAGAUUCAUCAACUAUAAAACUUGAUUUUCAGUUAUAUAAACUUUUUAAGUGCUUCGAGAAGUCUAUACCUCUUUGUUUGGCUCUUAAUUUGUUUAAAUUUCUAGAUCCAUAAACUUUUUAAAUGGUUCACUAUACAUAUAUACCUCUUCAUUUGGCACUUAUAUCUAAUGUGACAUGUUGAGUCAACAGCCAGCGUGACAUGAAAUUUUCCGUCACCCCUCCUCCCUCACUUAUCGUUUCUGCUCUGUUCUCUGAGCAUGCAAGGUGAUGAGAGCAAGCGGCAUGAGCAUAGGAGAUGGUGGCGGGCUAAGGGGCGCACUACGGAGCCAUGGUGGCGUGUGGGUCCUAUAAGUCAUCUUCUUUCUUACCCUAAUCAACAUAUAAGAUUAGAUUUGUGUGUCCAACGAGCACAAAGGAUAAAGAAGACAAAGAUGGACUCAGUAGAGCUCAUUUCUAGAAUAGAGGUGAACCACAAGGUGAGCAAUAGCGGUGAUAGUAGGAGUAUGGUGACCGGUAAUGGUGAUGUGAGCACUGGAGCAUAGGCACAAAUGUCGGGCUUGAGGAAUUGAAAAGGAAGGCAGCAUGGUCGGGGUAAGCACGAGUUCAACAUUUUUCAUGUCAUACUGGUUGUUGACUCUAUAGUCCACUUGCUACGUCAGAUCUAAUAAGGGUCAAAUAAAGGAGUAUGAACUUGGGAUGAAUGCCUUAAAAAGUUUAUCAACCCACAAGUUCAAUACAAAGGCCAAAUGAAAGAACAUAGACCUGGGUCCACCUAAAAUAUUUAUAUGGACUUAGAAAUCAAUUUUCAAAGUAGAUGGGUCAAAUCCGUUAAUGAACCUCUAAUAUAUUUAAUUGUGGUUUAUAUAUUUUAUUCGAUCCAGCUCGUGUAAUAGCACGACAACGACGCGUACAGGAGAGUGGCAACUAGCAACACCACCCAAUGGCCAACAAUGAGCGAUGGCUGCCCCAUGCGUGGCUACCGUAGAGACCAUCGGAUCACGAGGCCCCAAGUGUUGGCCCCGGCGUGUACGUGGCAGUCACAACUUAUGAGUGAUGCCUAUCGAGAAAAAGUUUGGUUGGGGAUGUUAAAGUUUAACAAGUACCAUAGCAUUUUCGUCUUAUUUGAUAAUUAGUGUCUAAUUAUGGACUAAUUAGACUUAAAAGAUUUGUCCCGCAAAUUACUCUCUAGCUAAAGUUUUAUAAAUAGUCUAUAAUUAGUACUUCAUGUAUGUGUCUAAAUAUUCGAUAUAAAAAGUUAAACUUUAACCGGGCCAAUCUAACGGGGCCUAACAAUUUUAUCUAUCCCGCUGCAGGUUGCUAGCCACCAACAGCUUCCCGCUGUCAUGGCGUCCAUUUUGGCUCGGUUUGGCAUAGCUUAGCAUUGCCAAAGAAAUUAUAUUUUUAAGUUUCAAUUUCAUGAGCUUCUUGAUAAAACUAAAUUUAUUUUAAAGAUUCAUUUGGUAAAAUAGCUUUACGUAUAGAUUCUCUUAAAACAUACUCUCGCAUAAUCCUAAACAGGGCCAACAAAUGUGAAGGUGAAACUGUGAUAGAAUACUAUUUUUAGUUUUAUCUCACUUUAUUUUCACGUGAGAGCCCAAUUUUAGGAGAUUAGAGUUGUCAUUCCCAGUUCGUGAUCUAAACCCUAACACCAUUCACCUAGGUCACCCUCUGAUUUUUAAUCAUAAAGACAGAAACAAAGCAUAUGCUUUUAUCAAGAACAAAUUCCACGCAAAAUUUACCACUGUUAAAGCAAACAAAUUAAACCAUGCUGGCAGACUUACCUAUAUUCAAUCUCUUCUCUCUGCCAUUCCUGUUUAUUAUAUGUCCACCAUCCUCUUCUCGAAAACUUUUAUUGCUGAACUAACAACCAUCAUUAAAAGAUUUUUGUGGGCAGGAAUCCAGGAGGAAAAUGCAACUAACCCCAUUCAUUUCAGAUCCUGGGAAGACAUCUGUCAAUCUCGACACAAUGGAGGUUUAGGCAUAAGAGAUCUUCAUCUUGUUAACAAAAGCCUGAUUAUGCACACAGCUUGUACCCUGGCAACUAAUAAAAACCCUUUCUUACAACAGAUCAUCAAAGCAAAGUAUUACCCCAACUCCUCUUUGUGGAAUGCUACUAACAAUGUUCCCAGGUCGGCUUUCUGGUCUUCAAUUCUGCAGGUUAAACAGGAGCUCUCGAAAAGCGUGCAACUUCAACUACAUCAAGGCAACAGUUCUAUUUGGUCAGCCCCCUGGUGUGACAUCUGGAAAUCCAUCCACGACCACCUGCUCAUUCCAGUCACAACUUUGCCUCUUCCCUGCACUGUAAAUCAACUCUCAACUCUGGUAUCCAGGCACUCGUACUUGGAACAUACCUCUUCUUAAUACCACUUUUGACAAUCAAGCUGUCAGCCAUAUCAUAAAUACCCCGACGGUUGACAGUACAGACAGUGACAUCCUAAGAUGGACUCCUGCUAAAGAUAGAUUAGGAACUGUGAAAGCUAUUUAUAAACACCUCUCUAAUAACAACAUUGUGCAGAUUCCUGCUACAGGUACAAGAAGCAUCACUCCACAGGCUAAUACAAUUCUAUGCAGGGUCUGGAAAUGCAAAAGUAUCCCUCCUAUCAUUAAAACCUUCACCUGGAGACUCAUAAGAAGAGCCUUAGCCACAGCUGACAGGGCAACCAGAUUUUCAUCCCCAGCUAACAAUACAUGUGACAGAUGCAACAUGAUUGAAAAUGACUACCAUCUGUUCUUCCAAUGUACCCUCCCUCGUCAGGUAUGGCUCACAUCCAACCCUUCCAUCAAUACUGCUAAUCUCCCCUCUGAAAUUGAUGGUGUCCAAUCAACGCUAACCCUUAUAGUUACAGAUUCCACUCCUGAAGCUUUAUUAUGCAAAAUUCUUUAUACUCUUUGGUUUAUUUGGAAAGCCAGAAAUGAUUACCACUUCAACAGGAAGGAUUGGACAGCCCCUCAAAUUCAUCAAGCCAUCCGAGCCUACAUGACCCAAAAUGAACAAAACCCACCCCAGACAUCAUCUCAGUUUACUCAAAAUCCAGGUAAUCAACUUUCAAUUUUGCAGGCUCACCUCCAACAACCAACAAUGCACUUCUGCCCCUACCCAGCAAGCCUCCAAGGCUCAAGAUGUUAUGUUGAUGCCGCAAUAACCCCUGAUGAACAGAACAUAAAUACUAACAUUGUAGGUCUAGGCAUCUUUAUCCUAAAUUUUCAGGUUCAGCCGCUUCAAGCCAUCUAUGUCAAAGCACAACUUCAGAGUUGCCACUCCGUUCUCAUGGGUGAAGCUGCAGCCCUAGCUCUUGGAGCAUCUAUUGUCCAGGCUCUUCAAAUUCCAUAUUGCAAUUUUCUUUCAGAUUCCCAGCAACUGGUGCAUUUCCUCAACAGAACCCGCCCCAGUGGAGAAUCAAACCGUUUACACAGGUUUUCACCAAUACUGCGGCCACAAUACAAACUCAGCUCUUCAAGAUCAACAGAAAUCAAAAUACAACAGCUGAUACUUUAGCAAAACAGGCCCGAAGCUCCAUGCUUACAUUUCAAAACUGUGAUUGUACCAGGUCUCUAUGUGGCCCCAUUUGUACUUUGUUUCAGGCUUUACUCCAAGUAGAGCUCAACUCUGUAUCCAUCUUAGCAGCUUCUUGCUGCGGGUAAUAAAUUUUAUUGCAAUUAUAAAAAAAAAGACCUGUUGACAAAAAAAACAAAACAAAAAAAAACUCAGACGCCUUGAUUUUAGUCAAAGACGAAUGCUUUGAGCCAGUGAGCCUCGCGUCCAUGGUAUGCGCGGGAACCUCCCGUUCCUCGCCGCGGCGGCCGCCGGUGGGUCCAGUAAUGGCGCCGCCCUCCCUCUGUCCCUCUCGCACACGAAGCAGCUCCACGCGCGCCUCAUGGUCGCCUCCCCCUCCUCCGCUUCUGGCCCUGCCGACCUCCGCCUCUUAGUGCUCCGCUCUUAUGCCGCCCGCGGAGACUUCUCCUCCGCCCGCCGCUUGCUGGACGAGGCUCCCCACCCAGUCUCGCCGCUCCUCUACAACGCCCUAAUCCGCGCCCACGCCCGCCGCCUCGACCUCCCCGCCGCGCUCGCGCUCUUCGCUCGCAUGCGCCGCUCCGCCACACCGCCCGACGCUCACACCUUCGCCUGCGUCCUCCGUGCCUGCGCCGAAUCCUCACGCCCGGACGCCGUCAAGGUCGUCCACGGUAUCGCCACAUCAUGUGGUAUGUGCUCCCGACCGAUUGUCCUCAGCGCGCUUGUGAGUGGGUACGCAAAGGUUGGCCUCGUGGACAAUGCUCGCAGCGUGUUCGAUGGAUUGUGCGAGCCGGACUUGGUCCUUUGGAACUCCAUGAUGUCUGCAUACGGUUACCAAGGAAUGUGGUAUGAUGGUCUCCAGAUGUUUUCCUUGAUGCGGAGAGCUGGGGAGCAGCCGGAUGGGUAUUCAAUGGUUGGCUUAAUCUCAUGCUUCUGGAAUCCGGAAAUACUUGCAUUCGGUCAAGCAGUCCAUGGAAUGUGUGUCAAGGGGGGCUAUGACUCCGGACACCAUGUGAGAAGCACACUUGUGUCGAUGUACAUGAGGUGUGGGUGUAUGGAAUCUGGCCAAAGCUUGUUUGGUAGCUUGCCUGAUGCAGAUUUGAUUACCUGGUCGUCGUUGAUUACUGGGCUAAUGCAAACUGGCAAGUAUGAGGAGUCAUUUGAUUUGUUCCGGAAAUUGUGUUUUACUGGUAGGAGGCCCGACAGCAUAUUGAUUGCUAGUGUUCUCUCUGUAUGUGCUUCUACAGCUUCUGUUAGUUGUACCAGGGAGGUCCAUUGUUAUGCACUCAGGCUUGGAGCAGAUAUGGACAUAAGAGUCUCUUCUUCACUAAUGGAUGCUUAUGCAAAAUGUGGUUUCACUGAGCUUGGAUACUUGGUGUUCCACCAAUUACCUGAUAAGAACUCAGUCAUGUACAACACAGUCAUAUCAAACCUUGGAUCUCACGGGUUUGCAACUAAGGCUAUUGAAGUCCUAGAUGAGAUGGUUAAUGAUAAGCUCAGGCCUGAUAGUGCUACCUUCUCUGCUUUACUUGCUGCUUGUUGUCAUGUGGGACACUUGGAGGAGGGAUGGAAGUUGUUCAGGAGAAUGAGGGAUGAGUUCAAGAUAGUUGUUGAAGUGGAGCACUAUGUGUACAUGGUGAGGCUUCUUGCAACAUUUGGCCAGCUGAAGGAGGCAUAUGAUCUUAUACAGACAAUGCAAAUACAACCAGAUUGUGGUGUAUGGGGUGCAUUGCUUUGGGGUUGUUGUGUCCAUCGUGAUUCUAGCCUCGGCAGGAUUGUUGCUGAAAAGCUCUUUGAACUCAAUUCAGAGAAAGCUGCUUACAGGGUUAUGCUCUCAAACUUGUAUGCCUCACAAGAGAUGUGGUGGGAUGCUGAGGAGGUUAGGGAUGAGUUAUCGAAAGAAAAUAUGUACAAGAACACAGGGAUGAGUUGGGUUGGCAAAGUAAAGAAAUGAUGAUUGGCAUCUGUCAUUGUAAAGCAUGUCAUAUAUCAAGUACAUGUUAUGAACUCUGGCCCCGUUUAGUUCCCAAAAAUUUUCUUGGAGCAUUAAAUAUAGAUAAAAAAUAAUUAAUUACACACUUUACAUGUAAUUUGCAAGACAUAUCUUUUGAGCCUAUGAUUGGACACUAAUUACUAAACAAAAUGAAAAUGGUACAGUAGCUAAAUACAAAAAUUUUCGCGAACUAAACAAGUCCUCUAUAUUGUUAUAUUCUGGUAGAGACGAAAUCUUCUGAAACUCCGUCAAACAUGUACUUAUUCAGCUUUAUCUUAAUCAGUUCUGUACUCUGUUUUUCCUUAUAAUCAUGGAAGGUUCAUUUGCAUACAUGAAAUUGGUUACAUUUUAAUUAUGUGGGAUAACCUAAAAUUCAUAGAACUAAUUACCGUAAACACUCCUGUGGCUGCAUUUCCUUGCACCUCGAAAUGCUAGUUACUUGAGAAAUCUGCUGCCUAUUUUCUGAUAUGGUAGUCUUAAAUGAAGAUCACUAUUCACUAGUGCCAAUAAGUUUGUAAUUGUAAUGUUUAAUACAUUCCAAUCCCAUGUUUGUUUUGCAGUUUGACCCACCACUUCCUUCUCUGACAAUACCAACCAUUUCUGUUAGUGUUGAAUUUAGCAGUUUCCUAGUAUUUUAUUCAUGCCGCCUAUAUUCUUUUCAGGUUUUAAAAAAAUACUGAACAUGCUUAGGGUUAGGGCCUGAUGGAGUAGGGGAGGCAUUUAUAUUCAAAUCCUAGGGCUUCAUUUAAAUUGGAACAAAAUCCUAAAACUUCCUGAACAAAUGACCCUCAUCCAAACAGCUGUGAAAGUUAAGGUAGACUACCGUUAAAUUCUGUUUGUGUCCUGCACUGAGUUCACUCAUUUUUACAAUCUUUAGGCCUUGUUUAGUUCUGAAAAAAUUUUGGUUUUGGAUACUGUAGCACUUUUAUUUUUAUUUGGCAAUUUUUGGUUUUGGGUUCUGAAAUUUUUUUUAUUUGGCAAUCAUGGACUAACUAGUCUUAAAAGAUUCAUGGCACGAUUUACAGGCACACUGUACAAUUAGUUUUUGUUUUCAUCUAUAUUUAAUGCUUCAUAUAUGUGCUGCAAGAUUCGAUGUGACGGACAAUCUUGAAAAGUUUUUGGUUUUCGGGGUGAACUAAACAAGACCUUAAGGAAAGAGUGAAAGAUAACUGGAUAAUAAAUUUCAAAUGAUACCCUUAGAUGUACAUCCUCUACCAUUUCGAGAGUGCUGUCACAUAUAUGUUCAGAUGAUAGGGUUUUUUUUUGGCUUAGAAAAUGUAAAGGUGCAUUUAGAUGUCCAUUUUGUCUUUUUUUCCCCCUCGAACGAUGUAGCUGCGUGUCGGUUCAUUAACAUAGGAGAAAACAAAAGGUAAAAACAAGGGAGAGGCAUGAGGCACGCUCCAGAAACACAUCCUCUAACGUACCACGCCCGCACCAAAUACAAGGCAGGGAAACGCCGAGCCUAUCCAACUGUGUGGAGAAAAUGGUAUGUUGGUAAAACUACGGCCUUGUUUAGUUCGCAAAAAUUUUCAAGAUUCCUCGUAACAUGAAUCUUUAGUCAUAUGCAUGGAGCAUUAAAUAUAGACGAAAAUAAAAACUAAUUACACAGUUUACUUGUAAUUUGUGAGAUGAAUCUUUUGAGCUUAGUUACUCUGUAAUUGGACAAUGUUUGUCAAAUAAAAACGAAAGUGCUACAGUAGCCAAAAACUAAAUUUUUUGCCAACUAAACCAGGCCUAUGUUUGCCACUAUGUUAGUGUCUCUUGGAAAUAAAACAUUUUCGUUCUAAAAAACAACUAUUUCAAAACUCCUAAUUUAACCUUACCUGAUUGUUUGUGUCUAAUUGUGAUAUUAAUUAUAUAUUUUGGACUUUUUUUGUACAAAAUCAGAAAAGCAGCGGACAUAAUCCGCUUCAGACAAUCUAAGCCCCUCGAUCAAAGAUCCAACAAACAAAAUUAUUUGAAGUGAUGUGGAUGAUGCUCCAAGGGGAUAAAUCAGCCGGAUUAUGCAGGGGGACUUAGAGAAGUGAGGUUUGGGGUGGGGGUUGGAGACGAGCCAACUUGGGAUGCAAUCAUCCUUCGUGGGCUUUUGUAAGCCUUGCUAAGGCCCAUGCGGCAGCUUUCUCAUGAGGCCCAUGGGGUAGCUUUUUCUAGUCUCCGCCGCCCUUCAGGUCGCCACCUAUCAAGAUGAAAAUAGAACGGAAAUAUCCCGAAUUAAACCGCAUCGUUCCCUAUAUUUAAUCUGAUCGAAUUCGUAUUUUCUUAUCCGACUUUACCGUUUUCAUUUUUGUAUUUUAGAUGUUUCAUAUUUUAAAUGUAAAAGUAGAAAACGGUUUAGACAUUUUUCGACCGUUUUCUACUUUUCUAUUUUUAAUUUGAAAUAUUUUGAAUUCAAAAUUUGGUUUUUAAACCAAAUUUAGCUAACUGCAACGGUCACACAGCCCAAUUAUAGGCUACUCAACAUGCGAUUGUGUUCUUUCUACUGGUGGCCAGCUGCACACUCUUUUAUAGACGACACCCAGUCUCAUCGUCUCCUUUGACCUCACGAGGUGUUGUCCUCUCAGUUCGACUUCAUAUUUUAAUAACAUUUAAUUUUAGUUUAGAUUCUAAAAUAGUAUACUAAUUGCUAUAUCUUAUUUUAAUUCCUAUUAUCCUGCUAGCUAUUAAUGGCUUUUUCUAGACUUAUAUUUAUGUGUAGACUAUUGUAUUAAAUACCUAAGACCAAAGAUUAUGUACUUUUUAAUUAUUAUAUGCACUUAAAAUUGAUUGUGCAUGUACUUAGUUAUGCACUUGGUACUGCAGGUCGGUAUUUCAUAUCGAGUUUUCGUAUAUCGACCGUGUUCGACAUAACCGCUCGAGUUAGUUCGUUUUUGGAAUUUUUAAUAUUUCAUAAGUUCGCGUUCGUGUCCAACUUUAUCAUUUUUGUUUUUGUUUUCAUAUUUUAAAUGUAAAAAUAUAAAAUAAUUUAGGAGUUUUUCAACAGUUUUCAUACUUGCCCACCCGAAGGCUUGGCUCCAUACGCCUCCUGCAAGAGGCUCCGCCAGUGGCCUCCGGACCCUCCGAAUGCUUAAUUCCACCCCCAUCUUCUUGGCGCAAAGCCUGCCUCUGCCUGUUUCCUGAAAUCAUGAAGCUGAUCGCACAAACUUUGCUUCACGUUAGAUGGGGAACCGGAGACCGAGCCAUUGCGCUCCAACACUGAACCUUGCAAAAACUGCCAAAUGUUGGAAGCCAAAGAGGCCUGCACGUAGCUGGCCAAUUUGUUUAGUUUUGGACAUGAGUUGGUGGACGAUGUAAUAUGCUUUAAUACUCUAUGAUGUCAUUUUCUAUGCUCCAACCAGUGCAAAGCUUCAGAGAAGCGGAUUUAACAAGAAACAACAGUGGCAGGCGUGCAAUAGCUGGCCAUGCCAGGCAAUUGACAUCUCAGGCACCCAAGGUACUGUACAAGCACUAGAAUCCAAUGUUUGUACUAUGAAAUAAACCUCCGCUGUAACCAAACUUCAUUUGCCUCUCUGCUUGCUCACCAUGGCUAAACAUGGUUUCCUGUUCUUCCUCACCUUGUUUCUGCAGCACCACUAUACAAGCGCCUCUUCAAUUGAUCAGCAACAAAGCCGCCUAGCAUCAACUUCGGAAUGGCAACCCUUGCAUUGCGAUGCUGUGUCCAUCAACCCUUCAUGCGGCUCAUUCCUUUAUGUCACUCCUCAAGGGCGUAGCCUGUCAGAGAUUGUCUCUGUAUUCAACGGUAAUGCAUCUCUCAUCCAGACUAUCAAUCGGCUCUCUGGUUCACAGGACCUGUUGAUGGGCGUGGCAUGCAAGUGUCAGGCUAUCAGCAACACCACGACUGCUUUUUUUCAUGACACUCAAUAUAAAGUGGAGCCGGAUGACACACCUGGCGAAGUGAAGAGUAAUACCUUCAGCGGGCUUGCAAUGAAUGUUGGUGAUGGUUCGGAAUUGACACCUGGGAAUACAAUUACGGUUCACCUCCCAUGCGGGUGUUCCUCAACAGCAUCAGAGGGAAUAUUGUCUUAUUCAGUGCAGGAGGAAGAUACCCUGCUUACUAUUGCAAACUUGUUCCAUUCAAGUCCACAAGAUAUCUUGAAUUUGAAUCCGAGUGUGACAAAUCCUGAUUUCAUUAAACCAGGAUGGAUCUUAUUUAUUCCAAUGGGAGUUGCUGGUCCUUCUAAGAAAAGUGAGUCACAACUAAAUAUUUUCGUAUUUUCUUUAUUCUAAAUUACUCAAAAUUUAUGCAUAAGGUUUGUGCUACAAUAUAUUUUUAUGAUUGAUGUUUAAUGUUUAGUAACACAAGAUGCAGAUGCUUCUUGCGAUCCAAAUGUGUUUGAAAUUGAUUUUUUGUUUCUUGUGCUCUUCAGUGGUAUUCAAUUAAAUCAUACAUGCUAUUUUCUGCUCCCAUUAAGCUGAUCUUUUUUUUUCUGUUGUUUGUUUGAUCCUUUUUAGGUGUUGGUAGUAUGACAAUCAUAAUAUCAGCAUCCAUAUCUGCUGCAAUAUUGUUCUUCUGCGUCUUCACUGUCAUUCUUCGCCUGAGAAGGAGGUCUUCUCAGCACACUGUUGAAGCACCUGAAAUAAAAAUGGAGAGAGCUCCCAGCAACACCAGCAUCGCUGCUCUGGAGAGCCGUUACUUUCCAUCCAUGAGAAUUAAUGGUAUUCUCAUGUGAUACAUGUUUCUGCUUCUAAAUUUUUAGCUAAAUAUAACGUAUCUUAUCUUAUUACUCUGAAUUGAGUGGUUGCAGAUAUUGACCCAUUCCAAACAGAGAGGCCUGUCAUUUUUAGUUUGAAAGUAAUUGGAGAUGCUACGGCUAAUUUCGAUGAGAAAAGAAAGAUCGGCGAGGGAGGAUAUGGCAGUGUUUACCUUGGUUUCAUAGGAGCACAUGUAAGAUAUCUCUGUAUUGUCUCAUGUAGAAUCAUGAAAAUAUCCUUAUGUGUUACUUUGCUCAUAGGAAAUUGCGAUCAAGAAGAUGAAAGCAAGCAAAUCGAAGGAAUUCUUUGCUGAGUUGAAAGCUCUGUGCAAAGUACAUCACAUUAACGUGGUAUGCACUUAAUUCCUAAAAUCCAACAGGAAGUGGAUAUCUUUGUAUUGGUUCUUUGCUUGUCAACACAGACUUUCCUAAGGUGUUCAAUUACAAAUAGGUUGAGUUGAUUGGUUAUGCUGCUGGGGAUGAUCACCUGUACCUUGUGUAUGAAUAUGUCCAGAAUGGAUCACUUAGUGAGCAUCUACAUGAUCCGUUGCUGAAAGGUAUGCGAUGGAGAAACAACUGUGUAGGUUAAGUUUAAUCAGUGCCCCCUCCAGUAAAAAUAUGUAAACUAAUAUAAUUUUAAAAAUUAAUAUGUCUUCAUGAUACUAAGUAUGUUGUCUUCAUAAUUUUUUAAGACUAUUUAUUUAUUAUUUUAUACAAAUACAUUUAAAAGAAACAGGUAUAACAUUAUUCAUUCUUAUAAGAAGUUUCUGAAAGCAGAAAUUUCCAGUAUUACAUGAGGCUGUACAUGGUGUUGAGUUUUCAUAUACACUAACUUGCUUCCAAGAUAAAAUUUUCAGGCCAUCAACCUCUUUCAUGGACUGCUAGAACACAGAUAGCAUUGGAUGCAGCACGUGGUAUUGAGUACAUUCAUGAUCAUACUAAGGCCUGUUACGUGCAUCGUGACAUCAAAACAAGCAAUAUUCUGCUCGACAAUGGAUUAAGAGCUAAAGUAAGUCUCUUUUAAACGACCAAAUUUCUGUAUCUGCUCAGACAUGAGCAUCUGAUUAUUCUCUGUUGAACAGGUUGCAGAUUUCGGACUAGUGAAGCUUGUUGAGCGUAGUGAUGAAGAAGAAUGCAUGGCAACUCGUUUAGUUGGAACGCCAGGAUACCUUCCACCUGAGUUAGUUUUCAUUUGAAUAUGAUUUUCAGUCCAACCAGCUGGUACAGCUUCAUAUGUAGUACUGACUAUAUGAAUUUAAUACUGCAGGUCAGUUCUUGAACUUCAUAUGACUACCAAGUCUGAUGUGUAUGCAUUUGGAGUAGUUCUUGCAGAGCUCAUUACAGGACUCCGUGCACUUAUCCGGGAUAACAAAGAAGUCAACAAGAUGAAGUCAAUAAUCUCAAUUGUAAGAGUCCUUGCGAGCACUUACAAUGUCUGGUGUGGUUAUUUUUUGUGGUUUGCAUGCUAACUUUCAGCAAGGUUGUAUUAAAAACAAAAUCAAGAAAUACAUCAUUCUGUGAACAGAUGAGGAAAGUCUUCAAAUCAGAAAAUCUAGAGAGCUCAUUGGAAACAAUUAUAGAUCCUAACUUGAAGGACUGCUAUCCCAUAGAAGAAGUGUGCAAGGUCAGUGAAAAUGCAUAAUAUUGUUCACUUAAAGAUCUCAGAUAACUGAAUCUUGCCUUUCUCUGUUCUAUAGAUGGCAAAUGUUUCAAUAUGGUGCCUAAGUGAGGAUCCAUUGAACCGGCCUGAGAUGAGGGACAUCAUGCCAACUCUGUGUCAAAUCCAUCUCACCUCUAUUGAAUGGGAAGCAUCACUUGGAGGUGAUGGCGAAGUAUUUAGUGGUGUUUCCUAUGGUAGAUGAAUCAAACAGCAUACUUUGGCGUUUAGAAGCAAAACGCACUCCUUUUACUUUUAUUUGAAGGAGAAUGGUUCUUGCACUGCAGUUUGUGUAUUUAUUGAUUCAAUAUGAUUUUUUGAAGGGUUGCCCUUUUGUAUGUGGCUCCCCGUCUGUUCUUAAGGACAUUCACAUCCAUAGUACUCGCAACUACACGUACAUACAUAUAUGUAGUUCUUUCUAGAUUUAGCUACAACAGUCUGUUGGCAAGAUGAAAACUAGAGGGAAAUCAUCAAUGAUCCGAAUGAUGAAUUAUUGUAAAGUUGUACUGUUGAAUGUAAGACUACCAACUUCACUUGUCAUGUCCACCAGACCACCACACAUGUCAGUACGAAAGAUGAGAUUGUAUUUAGAAGCAGUAGAAAUGAAGAUUGUUUGCAAACUGAUCAUAGAUCAAUUGGUUAGGUUUCUUGGUGGAACCAGCCCACCUAGGUUCAAAUUCUUCAUUUGUCACAUGUGCUCACAUUUUUCUGGAUUUUUUCUAACGGCGCUACGUUUUCAAUGGUAGGCGAUGUCUCCAUGGACAGCGAGGCUUCGUGAAUCUCAAGAUCUACUGGCUCAGUUAUUCGAAGGUGGUUAUAGGGAUAGGGUUAGUUAGUCUAUACUUUAAAAAAAACUGUUAUGCCUAGUAUUUUUUUGGAUGUUGUACAAAUUGGAUUUUUUGGGACGUUGUACAAAUUGGAUUGAUCGUCCGUUUGGCAUAGCAACUAGCAACACAAAGUCUUUUAGGUCCUGUAACGAACAAGACGAGAAUAUGAAUUUUUUUGAGACGCUGUAUAGAUUGGAUUGACCGUCUGUAGCAACUAGCAACGGGAAUGUUGUACAAAUUGGAUUGAUCGUUCAUUUAGUGUAGCAACUAGCAACACGAAGUCUUUCUAUAAUGAACAAGAUGAUAAUGUGAUUUUUUAUUGGGAUGCUAUACAUAUUGGAUUGAUCGUCCAUUUGGUGUAGCAACUAGCAACACGAAGUCUUUUAGGUUCAUGUAACGAACAAGACGAGAAUUUAAUGGAUUGAUCGUCUCCUUAGUGUAGCAAAUAGCAACACGAAGUCUUUUAUUGUAACGAACAAGACAAGAACGUGAUUUUUUUUGGAUGCUGUACAAAUUGGAUUGAUCGUCCUUUUGGUGUAGCAACUAGCAACAUGAAGUCUUUGAGGUUGAACAAUACGUAUGUGAAGUCUGCUACAGUUCCUCUGUAUCUUGACCACUCUCUUGCUUUGUGUGCAUCUAUAAAUUUCACCUGUCAGUGUGUAUUAAAACUUGUAUAAGCGCAAUAUCAUCAAGGAUGCAGGCCGGCUGAUCACACCAGUUGUCUGUUUCUAUUUCAAAGCUACACAGAAUGAAUUUCCUGUCCACGCACGGGCAACAGGACAAUGUCGACACUUGUUGUAUUCGAAAAUGGUCCACCAUGUAAUGUUGAACUUGUUAUCUUGCGCCAUUUGGCUCUAAAUCCAUGCAGACUUAUUCAACUUUUGCCGCCUAGUUGUUAUGCACUUAUGCAUCUAGAAAAUGUCCUGCACCAUGGCCGGCUGCUGCCGGCAUAUCUACAUUUAUGAAUACCAAGUCUAAUGUGUAUGUUUGAAUCGUUCAUGAAUCCAAAAGUCCAAACUGAUUAUUUCACAACCGGGAAUUGCAUUCAACUUCAAUUCAACAUUUCAGUUUGGACACUGAGUCAAGUUGAGAGGAACCUUAUUCAUACAAAAGAUCUGGGAGGGAUAAGUAAGUGGUUGUAAGAAGAAAACAAGACUCUGUGGCACAAGUACUUAGUUCAUCCCCAUUAAAUAUUUCUUUUCGCUGAAAUUUGUUUGGUGCAAACCUAAGGGAUUGGCAUAGAAUUGUCAAUUUUGUACAAAAAUUGAACUUACAUGAAGAAAGGGAUAUUUUUGUCUGGGUGUUACAUUUAUCUGGAAGCUUCUCUGUAAAAUCCAUAUACGCUGCGUUAAUUAACAAUGUGAUUAGAGUCUCACAAGAUAUUUGGCAAAUUAAAGUUCCCACAAAAAUAAUUUUUUUUUGUGGUAUCUAAAAAAGGUGUGAAAUUAACUAAGGAUAACCUUGUUAGAAGACACUAGAUUGGUGACACGACAUGUGCCUUGUGUCACCUUCCAGAAACCAUUCAAUAUCUUUUUUUGGAUUGUUUUUAUGCUAAAUUUCUGUGGCGAGCGAACAUAUGUUGUUUGGCAUAUCUCCCCCUUAAGUUUAUCUGACCUUUUUAAUAGAUGGUCCAAAAGAGGUAAUAAAAACCUAAACUCAUUGUUAUUGACAGCAGCAGCGGCGCUUAGCUGGACUUUAUGGUUAAGAAGAAACGAGGUGAUUUUUGAUAAAAAGUAGACCAAAAUCUUUUUUGCAGGUUCUUUCAGGGAAACUUAUUGGCUUCGACAGUGGGCACAGUUGCAGCGGUGUGAGGCUCUACGGAAUGGGCUGAUUUCAACGGAGCAGUAUCUUGAAACGUCAGCUUUGAAGUUCUUCAAUUCCAAUGGAUGGCUGUCAACUAGAUCUAUUGCCUCUUCUUAGUCAGUUUUAUUCUGGUUUUUUUAUUUUAAGUUGGACAUUCUUUAGCGGCAUAUUAGCCGGUGGACUAAACUUUGAUAGAUGAAGCCGGAUAUAAAAUAUCCUUUAUCUAAAAAAAGUAAGUGGUUGACAAAUAGUUUUUGUACAAACUUAUAAAAAUAUGUUAGUAACUACUCACUCCGGUUCCAAAUAUAAAACAUUUUGCAUAGGAAAAACUAUGUAUUUAGAAAAGUCUAAAAUACCUUAUAAUUUAGAAUGAAGAGAGUAGAUAUUUACUUGGCUUUUGAUGAUAUACCCUGGAGACAAUCGUUAGUAAUUCGUAUGCAAAAUGUUUUAUACACUGGAUUGAUUGUAGGCUUGCAUUUUUGUUGUAGUAACACGAAGUAAAUCCAGUUUCCUAACGAACAUGAUCAAGACCAUGAACUCUAUACUACAAUUUUUCUAUAUUUUGAACAUUAUAUAUCUUGCUAUAUAUGGAUUUAGAUAACUUGAAAAUUAAAGUCGCAUGAACCAAGGCAUUUUUUCCAAAAAGAAUGUGACAGCCUAAUAGGAAGGGUCUUCCCUUUCCAAAUAUACCUGAAGGUGGGGCCACCCUCAUUGGUGGUGAGGGCAUUGUAAGUGCUUUUAACUGAAAAUUUGCCUUUAUUCCAGCACACAUAAAGGGCACAAAAGAGCAUCAUGCAUGAUCUUGUCCUAGUUAUCUUUUGAAUCAUCAACUAACCAGUGAUAGAAAGUGAUCUGAACCUCACCCUUUAUCAAUUGGUGAACACAAAAGUUUUUCUGCUCAGAGUUUGUAAAGGUCAGGAAACAGCACACAAAGAGCCAACUAUCCUACCAUAAAAGUGUUUUUUGACCAUCAUUGACUGAGAUACAUCUACCUACCAUGCAAGUAAAUAUCCCUAACUUUCAACAAAUCAGCCCACAUAGGAGAACCUGACUAUCUAUGUUUCACAAUACAGAGCCCCCUUGAGGUAUCUGAAAUUAAUAACCUCUUGCCAUAUUCCAGAUUCAGUUUAAGGUUUCCACCACCACUUACAUAAUAAACUAAUGCUCAUCGUCUUGAUCAUUGGCGGACCUAGAGACUUUCUAGAGCCCGGGCGAAAUAUGACCAUUGAUAAGUGAUAACAAGUUAUAUAAACAUAUUUCUACAAACAAAAAAAAAAUAGCACAGCCCCCUCAGUGCAAUGGCUGCCCAUUUAUGAGUUGGGCUGCCUCCUGUACCUGAUGAUCUGCUGUUGCUACACAAACCUGUGUAUUUCUUUGCUUGGCUAGUAUUCGUACAAGCUCAGCAUGAUAGCGUAUCCACCCAAGCGCAGCGUGGCAGCCCAGGCAGGCGCCUAGGGUCGCCGGGCCCUGGGUCCGCCUAUGGUCUUGAUGUCCUUAAUGCCUAGAUCCCGUUUCUUUUUACUUUUGCACACCUUAAUCCAUUUGACAAGGAGAUAUUUUCUUUUAGUUUUACUCCCCUGACAAAAGAACGACCUUCUGACUUUAUCUAACUCCUUAAUCACAGUUUUAGGGAGUAGAUAUAUUGACAUAUGAUCAAUGGGUGAGUUGUUUAAGCAGGAAGUAAUCAGGGUUGAUCUACCAGCAAUAGAUAUGUUACUAUCCUACCAUACAUCGAGCCUUUUUUUCAUUUUUCUCCAGGAGAGGAAGCCAGUUAACCAAGUGAAGUCUACUGGGGCUGGUACCCCAAAGUAUUUUAUAGGGAAAUUCCAACAUGACAAUUAAACUUUUUUCUGCAUAUACUUGAGCCAAGUUGUCAUCAUCAUUAAGCGCCACAACUUCACUUUUGUCAAAAUUUAUUUUGAGGCCAGCCAUCAUUUCAUACAGAUAUAAAAGGAGUUCUAUAUUUCUAGCACCUUCAACAUCAUGUUUCAAGCAUAUGAUUGUGUCAUCAGGAUAUUGGAGGAUGGCCACUCUAUUAGGGAUGAUAUGAGAUAUCAAACCAGAAAACAAACUAUUCUGUUGGGCAUUAUGAAUCAUCCUAGUCAAACAAUCUGCCACAAAAUUGAAAAAGAUUGGAGAGAGGGGGUCUUCCUGCCUCACUCCUUUUAGCCUUUGAUUUAAGGGCCUGUUAUGUUGUUUAAUUUAACACUAACAAUGCCCCCUGAGACUACUUGUUUGAUCCAAUUGCACCACAAAUCACAAAAGCCUCUUGCCUUAAGAUAGGUGAAUAAAAACAUAGAAGAAACGGCAUAUGUUGGAAGAAGACUACAUAACUUUACAGUUUCUCUCAAUUCCAGAAACUACAAAAUACAAACCAGCCUCAAAUUAAACUUGUGUUGCCUCUGCUGGAGCAGGCGCCAUUUGUUGCUUGUUGGCAUCUACUUGCACUUGCUCAGACCUCUUGGCCCAAAGGACACUAUACAGACCACCAACCAUGAUUAUUCCACCUAAGAUACUGCAGGGGAUAUGAGGAAUUCCGGGUUACAAUGUAAAUUGUAAAUCAUGACCAUCGUUUAAAGAAAAUUGAGGGUAACAAGGAGCUGCUAGUAAGCAGAAGACAAACACACACCUUCCCAGGGUAACUGCUUCUCCGAGAAACAAAGACAGAAUAAUUGUGACAAGCAAGGUUAUUGGCAUUGUCAUGGCCAAGAAAACAGGCCCGCUCUUUUCAAUGACCCAUACUUGCAUAUAAUACGCAACUCCUGAAACAAAUAUUCCCUGAGACAAGAAUCAUUGUUCAGAAGUUUGAGACACGCCAGCAUCACAUUCACAUUGGUCGUGCUCUACUUACCACAGGUCAUUGGGGAUGUGUUUGGUAAUAAGACAUUGAUGGCUAGAGAAACGCAGCAAUACAAGUUUAGAAUGUAACAACACGAAGAAAACAUACUAUUCCUUAAAAAAAAAGAAAACAUACUAAUAUCACUAGAAUAGAAUGUGCUUGAAUGAAGACUUAUAAAGGAAUAAAGCUAAUAAUACUAUGGCUUUAAUUUUAUCUUGACCUAUCAGGUUUCCUGUGGUUUGACCUGACCGGUGGUUUGCCCUGCACACAGUACAAAAUUCUGGUCAGGAAUCACAACUAUUUGCGGGCUGAGGUAGCAAUUCCUUUUAGAUCUGUGUGGAUAGAACUGUUUUGGACUUGUUGGAUGCACUCUUAUCCACCUCAAUUCAUGUAAUAGAUUGAGGUGGUCAAUACGAGUGCAUCUAAAAAAGCUUAUUACGUGAAAUCCUCACAGUCCAAAGUCCAAACAGUGCAUUAGCUUAGGAGAAGCUGUGAAGCUCGGUUUGAAAUGAGCUGAGUUUAGCAUAGUACUACCUACCAUUACCUUUGUCCCAUUUGGGUCAACAGGGAUAAAACUUUGUCUUGAAACUUUCUUAGUUUAUUGUACAAUAUGUUAUAUAUCAUUAAUUUUUACAUCUUCAUGCGACGCCUUGGAAAUAUGACAAGUUCAGAACUAGGUAUUCGUCUGUUGCUACCCAAAAGAAAAAAGACACUUGUAAGACAAUCUGAAGAGAUAUUGAACUUACAGAGUACAAUACAGCAAAAAGACGUAUGUCCAGCGCUAGCUUCCAUUUUGAAAAAUCCCUCUCGGCCGCUAGGGCGAUGAAGAAACACUGAAUUGUUGCAAAAAUCAUCUGGAGGGUUGUGUUGAGCAGCUUAGAUGGAUAUGCUUCCAGCAUAGGCCCCUGAAAAGCAAUUACUGUGCAGGUAAAUAUCAUGAGCAAGCAAAGACUGACAUUUGAUCUGCAUCUGCUAUGAUCACUGAACGAAAGCUCCGGGACACAUUCUUACCUGAAGAACUGUCCAAAGAGCCCAUGAUGUAGUUGAUAAAGUCGUCAAGAAAAUUCCAAAUAUCCAAACCCUUUUAGGAUGAGCAGUAACCCCAGCAUGGGAGUUACUUGUGUGAUGAAAAGGGUUAUGGUGGAUGAACGAUCUGAAUGCAGGUCCUUGGUAAAAUGCAAGUACAAUUACACCAGCAAUGCUAAACAAUACGCCUGAAGCUUUUGCAAUCCCAUGGAAUCUCUUCAAGUUCAAAGUCUCCAUCCUACCAAAUAUAAAAUUAUGAAUAUUCCAACUCUUAAAGUUUGUCUGAUCGGAAACACAGAUCAUGACGAACUCGUAAAUUUUCCAGAUCAAUCCCAAAAAUCGACCCAAGAUAUGACAGUUUUAGCACUCUUCUCAAGACUUAAUCAUCAUCCAUGCAUUUGUGUGACCGUCACUUUAUAUAAUUUGCAUAUUACACAUUUUUCUGAAAAAUAAAAUUAUAUCUAAACAGACAUUAAGAAUUUUUUUUGUUAGAGAGAUUCAAGUCCCUUUGUCUUGCUGCUUUGCAUGUUACUUUAGUAGGAACAGUACGUGCUGGGACUGCAGGGCUGGUGUGGGUGGGUGAUUUCCUAACUUCCUAUGGCAGCUACUGUCAAAAGGAAUUGAAGUAAAACUCCUACAAUAUCUUGGCAUAUGACAACAUGAGUCCUUAGGUAGUGGUAAUCUAAGAAUCAAGAUUCAUCUUUCUGGAUUCAAAAUUGUUCUGACUUGAUGUCAUAUAAGCUGGAUCUUAUAGGAGAUUAUGGCAUUAUGCACAAGGCAAACUAUAGAAAGCAAGGUACAGCUUGCGCUCUUGCCUUCUUUAGUCCAAAAUUAGAAUCCUCGAAACCGUAUAUUAUGGAUCCAGAAUUCCAAUCUUAUUACAAGGAAAUAAUGGAAAUAUAUAUGAAAAUGAAGAUGCUCACCGCAAAAGAACAGCCAGAAAGAAAGCCACAGCUGGCAAGAGGUUAAAUAUUGCAGAUGAUGAUGUUGCUGAAGAAUAACUGAGACCAAGGCCAUAUAUGUUGAUUGCUCCAGCAAUCCUAAAAUAAGAAAACAAAUAUGCAGCUUUGUGUUAGGCAGGAGCCAGAAGUGAACUCACAUAAAUUUAUUGUAUCAACUCGAUGCAAUAAUCGUGAAUAUCCUUCCUUUGUAAAAAAAAAAGGAUGCAAUUAUUAGUGACUGUGUAUGUAAGUGUAACAAGGGACACAAACUGAAUGAUGAAAACUCGCUAAAUAGUCUACCAUUUACUAACAGAACAAUCCAUUGAGCUCAAGUAGCGAACUUUUGAUAAGUUCUCCACAUAUCAACAUAUGUAUAACUAUAAGUUCAGAAACAUAAAUCAAACAGAGCAUGCAUAAGCCAAAUCUGUUCAUCAGGGCACGCUAAUGAUAUUUUUUUGUUGGUUGUUAAUUAAUAAAUAUUUAAGUAGAUUCUACGCAUUGGUGGCUAAGAAAAUUAUGGGAGGAAUUAUCAAAUCCUGCACUUCAACCCAGAAAAGAAGAGAAAUGGCCACAUGACAGAGCUGGGAACGUCACAGCUUCGCACAGAGGAGCAAAGAUGUGCACUCAAAUGAAGUCAUACCAUAGGUGCCUGACAGAAGCUUCCAAAACUUAAGAUUAAGAAACCUGUGUGGUUAAUUGAUUCAAAGAAUCUACCUAUAAAAACGUUGAUAACCGUUGGUGUUCCAAAUAAAUCUCAGGUCAUAGCCAAUGAAAUCAAAUAAAUAAGAAUGACUUCCAUUUUCACCUACCCGUAUAGUGCAUGAAAAAACAAUUUCAGAGAGACUUUGAAUGACAGCGGCGGAGCAGUUUUCCUGCAAAAAUAAUUUCAGAGAGACUUUGAAUGACAAUGUCAUGCAAGCAGCUAACUAGCUAUUGUAACAAUAACAAGCAAGAGUCGUAUUGAUUGAUUGAUUGAUUGAUUGAUUACCUUUCAAGCACAAAAGCAAUGGGCACCAAGAAGAGAAUACCAGUUAGAUGCCUGUAGAAAACAAAGACCGACGUGCUCAUGCCUUCAUCGAAAGCAGCCUUGGUUACUAUCUGCAUGCCUCCAUAUAUAGCCCUCAGGAGAAAUGCAACAACGAAAGCUGCUCUGUUGCCCAUUUCUACAGGCCUACAGCGGUCAUCUGUUGGGACUCCUGGACAUGCAUGGUUUUUUUUAUAUGUAAUCGAGCAGGGCAGAUUCUGGGAAUAUAAUGCACGAACUUGGGUGAGCUCCUAACUUCCUAUGGCAGCUACUUUCACAAGGAGUCUAUAUAUAUCCACAUAUGCUAGAAUUCAGUCGCAUGAGGUCUCAGGCAAUGGGUUUUUGGGGUCCGUCUGUUGUCUUUUGCUGUUGAGCUGACGUAAGCACCCAGAUAAGCAUGACUGGUGGCCAGCAACGUCGCCUAGCCAUUUGUAAUAAUAAUAAAAAAAAAGGGCGCACCUGUAUAACAGCUAUCCCCAUAUAUAUAAUCAACGCUGCUUGGUGGGUUCUUUUGCAGUAUAGUGCAGCCUCCUUUUGCGUCAGCAUACAUCAAACUUGAUAGGUAAGAAGCGACCCUCUAACAAGAUUAACAUCAAACUUGAUAUAUACAGGUUGCCCGCGGUUUGAUGACUGACGCAAACAAGGAAUUCGAUAUUCAGUCGAUUCUGACGCAAUGACAGUGUUCCAGUAAAAGGAGCACAUUGUGAGGCUCAGAAUUUGUUCCAGUUAAUUAAAUAACUAUUAAGGCGUCUACUUUAAUUUUUGAAAAAGUACAAUCUGCACAAGAACAUCCACUAGCCAUCACUUUCCAAAGUGACCACGAGAAAUGAACGUAAGAAAGGUUGAAGAAGUGGCUACUGUGACUUUGGUUGGCUCAACAACAUAGGAGUUAGGAGGGGUUUUUUUUUUUUUGCGAGCAUAGGAGUUAGGACACGAGCUGUUUUGUCCAGGUGGUGGUACAUGACUUUUGUUCAGCACAUAUAUAUCUUUUUUUUUUAAAAGAUCCGGUUACCCGGCAUUAUAUAAAUAAGGAGGAGACAGAGUUCACAACAUAAUGCGCGAGUGGCGCCCCCCGUGCAGCAGACUGCUACAUGGGGUUAGGAAUACAAAAACUAAUUACUCCCUAAAUUAUUAGCAACUAGUAGGGAUUUCACGGUCCUUCGUCCAGCACUAAUCCACCAUGAGCAACCAUCUCUGAUCACAGUAUGCCCCUCCAUCAUCGACAAACGGCACCAGUCUUCAACUUCCUGGUGCCACGUUCUGAUGAUAAGAUGCAUUGAUCCAAGGAGCUGCUGCUGCUUCCUCUGCAUUUGCAUAUCUAAGGGACCUCCAUCUCUGCUGCUCCAAGCUCAGCUGCAAUGGCUGCGAGUGCCCUGGAAAGCGCCUUGUCGUCCAAACAGGUUGCUGCUGUGAUGGCCUUGAUCGCCUGCUCUGGGAGGUCGUUUCCGUGACUCUGGACAUAGGCUUUGAUUGCCA